GACUGCAACCUGACGCUCUCCGGCGGGCCCUACGGCGAGAACCUCUUCUGGGGCGCCGCCGGCGGCAACUAUUCGGCCGCCGACGUCGUGGGUCUGUGGGUGUCCCAGAAGCAGUACUACGACCACGACAGUAACACCUGCGCAGCAGGGGAGAGGUGCGACUCGUACACGCAGGUGGUGUGGAGCGGCACCACCACCAUCGGCUGCGCCGCCGUCGAGUGCAGCAACAACGCCGGCGUCUUCGCCAUCUGCAGCUACAACCCGCCGGGGAACCUCGACGGCCAGAGCCCGUACUAGACUACUGCCAUGCAUCAUAUACGCCUGCAGCUGUGCAGCAUGCAUAAUGCAUGCUUGUUAUACGUACGUACGUGUGUAAGUGUGUCGUAUGCAUGAACGUACAUGUAUACAUAUGUACCGUGUGUCAACGGAGGAAAUAAAACUGUGAGCUGCAUAUCAUAUGUACUUUAAUGUGUGUAUAUAUAAACGAAAUAUAUAAUUAAAAUCAUGUGAUUGGUGAUACAUAGUAUUUCUGUUAGCAUCGGUAUAAUUAAAAACAAUUCCUGUGCCCCAGCGAUAAAUACGGAAUUUCAGGAAUUUCAAAAAAUAUCAGAUCAAAUUAAAGAAUUUCAUUUUUAAAAAUGUUAACGUCAUUUCACCGAAAAACUCUCUAAUAACCCACCAUGCAUCAUAAUUUCUAUAACACCAACAAAAUAACACAAUAUAUCAAAAAAGUAAAGCAUUGGUAACGGGCUGCAUCUGCUAGUGACGUCGAACGUGUGAGUGAGGAAACUAAAACAAAUUUUGAAGAAAUUUACGGCUUUGGUGAGUUAAAGGAUAUAGACAGCCGUUUAUGUGUGGUUUGCUGAAAUUUUGGAGUGAAAGGUGAACUUAACUGAAAAAUGUUGGCUGUGUAACCUUUUAUCCUCGAGAAAAAGGCGAUAUUUUGAGAAUUUCAGCAAAUUUUCGACGAAUUUAUAUAAACCCUUCUAUUUUGAUCUCUAUUAGUGAUAGCCUUUCCCUAUAAACAGUUUUACUUAGGAUGAUUGGUCUACUCUGUAGUGGAUAGGGUGAAAGGGUAAUACUCAUGAGAAUUCACAAAAAAAGGGUAAUACUCAUGAGAAAUUAACAGCUCAGAUUUGAUAAAAAAACAAAAAGGGUACGGUGGCGUCAGCAAAGAUAAAAAUCACCCAAAGUCCGACUAAACAAAGCAAAAUUUAAAAGGAAAUAUAUCACAGAUUACUCACCACACUAAUUAAUUAACUAACAGAUUGAUGACUAAGUACAUGCAUAGGUCACCUACACAAUGGCUAAGUACUUUCAUAAAAAUAACUCAACAACUAGCUAGGCACGCAAGUUCCAUGAAAUGAUGGAUAUGCGAUCUCGUUGCGACUCUGUGGCGGCAAUGACUUUGAGACUAGGGUUCGAACUUUGAUCUUGGAUCCUGCCAUGGAAAUCAAGUGUUUGCGGGGGUUGUUGUCCUUGCGGGUGGCGUUUGGCGCUAUCUCUUGAAGUGUCUGUCGAGGAUUGUGUUUUCUGGUCCCAAUGAUGCACAAUAUGUUUCACCAACUUUUAUGCAUGGGUUGUAAGAUUGGCCAUAAAGGUAUAUCAAUAAGAUAAAGCCAUAAUUUGUGUGAGUCCAUUUUUUUUUAUAUAGAGCCUACAAACUAAAAAAGUAUGUGCGCAAGCAGUCCAUAACCUCUCUAUAAAAGAGUUGAACAAACCGCCUAUAAGGUUGUGAGUCAAGGGUCAUACAAAUCGUGUAUUUACAAAUACCAUUCUUAUAGGCAAUUCCUUAGAUGCAACCUGUAGAAUUGAAUUAAAAAAUAGCAUAAAACACAAAAGAUAUUUCUCACAUGGGCCUAGCUCUAUUCGGUGUGCAGCAACAGCUGAUUUGUUGUGAAAAAAACAUUAUUACAUGGGUGAAAAGCAUGUCUGAUUCUAGCUGAUAAACUCAAGCUAACGAAAAUUAGCCACCCUUGGUCACAGAGGUAAUCUACUACCUCAUUCCACGUGCAAUACUUUCUUCUCUCGCCAUGGAGAUGUUGAUAGGGUGGGAUAACCUUUCAUUUUCCUUUGAUCUUAGUAAAAAACUAUUUUCAAAGGUGGUUAUUUUGCAAACAUUUGUUACACGUGUUUAUAAUGUCAUUAUGGUGUAUAUGGAAGUUAGCACAAUGGUGUAUACUCUCAAAAUGUGUAUACUAAAAAGAUUUGUUAGACAAAAGGUCACUACUAUCAAGUUCAACCUAAUUAAAAAGGUAAAAAAAUACAACUUCUUAAAAUAUUUUCAUAAGCAGCUCCAAUGUGAAACCACCCGUAAAAAGACCUUUUAUACAAGCAAUUUCUUUAAGUGAGUAAAAUCAUUCCACUUCCAUAUAUGGUUCACAUAAGAAAUCAUAUGUGGAAAUAUGUUUUCCUAAGUGGUUGAUAUUAGGAUUACAGAAUACCCUACUAGUGGCUUAUAAUAUAAUCAGCUUAUACAAAAAACAGUGGUGUCUAGAAAAAUAAUUUUUAUAGUAGCAUUGUUGUUGAAUGAUGGGCCGACAAAGGCCCUGAGCUUAGAAUGUUAGCAAUGGGCGCAGACCCAAUAUCCCACUGCUUUUGGUGGGUCAUGUGUGCUGCCCUUUCUAAGGGAAAAAGGCCUAGAAUUUGUUUUCCUUCUCUUGUUCUGUGGCCCAAAGAUACGAUGACAAUGACUGCUGCAUAUGAUGAAUGGGACAGGAAAGCCCAAUGGGCCUCUAAAUGGGAGUCUCAGUCUGUGUCCACUAAUCGUGACAAAACAUUCAAGUCUGCUUCUAAUAAAGUAACAAGUUUAUUUUUUUUGAAACUUAGUAACAAGUUUAUUAGUGCUAGCUGAAUGCUGCAUACAGGGGUGAAAAUAGGGCAAAUAUUUUUUAUUAUAAUCAACUAAUAAAAGUUUAUCAGUGAUGCCACGUGUGAAUCAUUUCAUAUUCGAUCUGUUCAUCCGUGAGUGUGUGCAAUGUCAACAAUAUCUGUUCAUCCGUGAACAUUUCGUGGAUGUUGUAUCAGGUGAGAGAAGACAUCAACAUCUGAAGUAGUAACUGUAUUAGUGAGGGAUUAUGUGGCAUUUACUUGUAAGGUUUGGUUAGUUCGUGAACAUUUUUGGCUUUGGCUACUGUAGCACUUUCGUUUGUAUUUGAUAAUUAUUAUCCAAUUAUGGAAACUAGGUUCAAAAAAUUCAUCUCGCAAAUUACAUGUAAACUGUGCAAUUAAUUUUUGUUUUCAUCAAUAUUUAAUAUUGUGUGCAUGCGUCUAAAGAUUCGAUGUGAUGGAAAAUCUAAAAUUUUUUUAAACUAAACCAGGCCUAACUUGAGGCAGUACUUCGCUCAAAUUCGAAAAAAAAUAUUCGUUACUGAAUUGCGACAUUGACACAAAGCAGUUUUGACCACAUGUAUGCAAUUUUCGUACCAACCGAGCAACUCACGUGUCGCAUGACCGUUAAAACUAACGUAAGCAACUGCCACAUCAUUCCUUAGAUGAUGCCUUCAAAAUUUUAAAAGUUUACAGGAUUUCUCAUCAUAUUAAAUCUUUAGAUACAUACAUCAAGUAUUAAAUAUAAACAAAAAAAUAACUAAUUACACAAUUUAUCUGUAAUUGCGAGACGAAUCUUUUGAGCAUAAUUAGUUCGUGAUUAGACAAUAAUUGUUAAAUACAAAUAAAAGUAUUACAGUGUCUAAAUCAAAAAAAUUGAAUCUAAACAAGCUUAAGACCUUAAUUUACAAGUCGAUGUAAGCAAUUAAGAAAAAGCAAUCGUGAUGACUUUUCCCAAUUUUAUUUAAAAAAUACAUCAUAAUCAGUUCAUUGAGCACACGCCCACCGUCCUUGAUUUCCUAUUGGUACACGAUUCAAUCAUGCUGCUUUCACUGAAUUUUGUCACACUUUCUAUGUAUGCAAAAGUUUGAUCAGAGGCCCAGGAUUCUAGCAGAAUGGGAGGAGAUUUCCACCAACUUGUGGCCCAUUUAGCAGCUGGCAUCUCUCCUGGUUUGUUCUGCAAAGACAAGUCUGUUCCAAAGGAGGCUGGUGAUUCCACCUGCAAAGACAAGUCUGUUCCAAAAGAGGCUGGUGGUUCCACCCACAUGGCCACCCACAUAACUCUUCAGAAUGUGGGUCCCCAAGUGGAAGAGCAGCAUGUGGACCUUCAGGAGGAAAACCAGAGGAGCUUUCCUGAUGACUUAACUGUCUUCCAAGCUAUGGUGGAAGACAACUUUCAGCUCGACAAGUCUACCCAAUUAAGUCUGGCUUUAGGGGUCCAAGAUGAGAGGGAGCAAGGCAGGGGCCAAGGAAUAAAUAAAGAAACUGCUAGGCUUCAUGCCAAGUUCUUUUCUUCAGGUAACCCUAACAACCUAAAUGUCUCAGUGCCUGCUCGUUGGGUUAAUUUUCUGACAGCUCAGUUGCUUAAACCCAACUCUUUUGGCUGGAUAAGAUCUUUGUUAUCUUCUGGAAUCAUUAGUGCUUUGGAUAAAUGCAACUCUGAAUCUGUUCAGUUCUCUGUCCCAACUGAAUGUCCUCAAUUCAACCUCCCUUGUCUUUCAGAAGUAAGGGUGGAAGAUUCUGCCGGGGCUGAGGAGUCUGCCAUGGUGGUGCCACCUAAAAAGAGAAGCCAGAAGAGGACCACAAUAUAUAUUGAGUCAGAGGUAAGAAGGAGCCCCCGUCUCAAAUCCACCAAUCAGGGGUUUAAAGCCAGAGGAUGUAAAGGAAAGAACUGCUUUGUCUGUAAUGUGGUUCCACCAACCUUGUCCUCAGAAUCUAUCAAAAGAAUUGCCUCAAAGUUCUGUGACAUUGCUGAGACUGAUGUUAAUGCAAUCUCACUGCAGGAAAGGAAAAGAACCAAGCACCCGGUGGCAAGAGCUCGGAUCCUUCCUCUGGAAGAUACCCAGUUCACUUCUACAAAUGACACAGAGAAGGUCAGCACCAUGGAGCCUGUUCCUGGAGAAGGGGUGGGGCAAGAUGGAGCAACCAAGGAAUAAUGAUCAUGCAGAAUGGGAUAACGCUGGGUUUGUGCCCCCAAUCUUUUGUGUCCUGGAGUGCUACCCUCUAUGUAAUAGUUAGUCUGAACUUUAAGUUGUAUUCGCUGUCAAACUAUGUCAGUCCUUUUAGUGGGAACUUGAAUGUCCCUAGAUUUGAAAUCCCCGUCAAUGAUGUCAUAUUUGGAAACAGUUAUGCAGUACUGUUAUUAUUUUCAGUUGUCAGCAUUAGUCCUGGAUCUGUUCAUUUGCCAUCAAUCCGGUUGAGCUUCGCCAGCAUCAGUUCUAGAUCUGUUCAUUUACCAUCAACUUGGUUGAUCUUAGCUUAUCGCUGUCAAUAUGCUCGUUCCACACUCUAUCUGGUUUUAAAUGAAUCGAAGCAAUGAGAGAAAUUGGGGUAUUUUGAGCUGGAACGUGAGAGGCCUGAAUUCCUGUAGCAAAUGGGAUGCACUCAAAAAUAAAAUCAUAGAUUCUAAGUGUGAUAUCUUCUGUUUACAAGAAACAAAAAAAGAAAGCUUUGAUAUGCAGUUUCUGAGAAAGAUCAGUCCAGCAGGGUUUGACAGCUUUGAUUUCCUCCCUUCAAUUGGAGCAUCUGGGGAAAUUCUCAUAGUUUGGAAAGGCACACUUUUUAUGGAGGAAACAAUUUUUAGUAACAAUUUUGGAAUAUCCAUCCAGUUUUGCUCCCUUCUUAGCUGUGAUACUUGGGUCCUAACCUGUGUGUAUGGACCAUGCACCCUAGAUGGGAAAACCCAGUUCAUUGAUUGGUUCAAAGGCAUCCAAAUGCCUGAUACUUUUGACUGGAUUAUAAUGGGUGAUUUCAACCUUCUAAGAAGUUUAGAGGACAGAAAUAAACCUGGAGGUAACAUUUCAGAGAUUCUUCUUUUCAAUGAAGCAAUUAGCUACCUGGGCAUUGUUGAAAUACCUCUCCAAGGUAGGAGAUUCACCUGGUCCAAUAUGCAACCCUCACCUCUGCUGGAAAAGCUAGAUUGGGUGUUCACCUCUUCAAAUUGGAAUAUCAAUUACCCAAUCACUACAGCCAAAGCUCUGGACAUGACCCCUUCAGAUCACACCCCUUGCCUCAUUAACAUUGCAACAAGAAUUCCAAAACCUAAGGUGUUCAUAUUUGAAAACUAUUGGUUACUAGAUGAGCAAUUUCCUAUAAUUAUAAAUUCAGUUUGGUCUGCUCCUGCCACCAGUCAAGACACAGCAAAAUCAAUAACAGCAAAGCUAAAAUUGUUAAGGCAGAAGCUGAGGGAGUGGCAGGCUGCCAAAAGAGGUCUCCACACCACAAUUGCUAACUGCAGAAUAGCCUUGCAACUGUUAGAAAGUUUUGAGGAUUUUAGAGACUUAAGUGUUGAAGAAUGGAAUUUCAAAGAUAUUCUCAAAACCCACCUUUCUUCACUUCUUGAAAAACAAAGAAUAUACUGGAAGCAGAGAGGCUCCAUCAAAUGGGCAAGCUUGGGUGAUGCAGGGACAAAAUUCUUCCACAAUAAUGCAACCAUCAAGCUCAGGAAAAGCAUAAUUUCAGAACUAGAAACUCCAAGUGGACUAUCAAUCAGUGAGCAUAACCAGAAGGAAGCAGUUCUCUGGGAGGAUUUCAAAGACAGAUUGGGGCAAUCUGAAUUUUCAGGUUUUCAGGUAGAUCCAUCUUGGUUUGUUCAGCCAUCAGCCCAUCUGUUCUGUUUAGAAGCCCAAUUCCUAAAUGAGGAAAUUGAUGGAAUUAUCAAGGCUCUUCCCAAUGACAAGUCUCCAGGUCCUGAUGGUUUCAACAAUGAGUUUAUGAAAAAAUCAUGGCCAGUAAUUAAGUUUGACUUCUACAGACUAUGUAAUGACUUUUACAACCACUCUGUCUGCCUUUCAAGCAUAAAUUCCUCUUACAUCACCUUGAUCCCAAAGGUAGAAGCAGCCAGAAAAGUAAAUGAUUUCAGACCCAUUUCACUACUUAACUCCUCUGUAAAGCUGAUUACAAAGCUGCUAGCCAACAUAUUACAGCCAGUGAUCACCUCUUUAAUCUACAAAAAUCAGUAUGGCUUCAUUAAGAAAAGAUCUAUCCAGGAUUGUAUUGCUUGGGCUUAUGAAUACAUUCACCUCUGUCAUCAUUCCAAGAAGGAAAUUGUCAUCAUCAAGCUUGAUUUUGAGAAAGCAUUUGACAAGAUUGAACAUCAAGCUAUGUUAAUCAUAAUGAAAGCCAAGGGAUUUGGAGAUAAAUGGAUCAAAUGGGUGAAAGACAUUUUCAACACUGGCACUUCAUCAGUCCUCCUUAAUGGGGCUCCAGGGAAAAGAUUCCACUGCAGGAGAGGGGUUAGGCAGGGUGACCCACUCUCCCCCUUGCUCUUUGUUCUGGCUGCUGAUUUCCUGCAAUCAAUGAUUAAUAAAGCAAGGGCAACAGGAUUGCUAAAUCUCCCUAUACCAAUGGCAAGCACAGAAGACUUUCCAGUGAUUCAGUAUGCUGAUGAUACUCUGAUCAUUGCUGAAGGGGACCCAAAACAGUUGUUCUUCCUCAAGUCUCUCCUAAACACCUUCUCUAUGUCCACUGGUUUGAAAGUGAACUUCAACAAGUCAAUGAUUGUUCCAAUUAAUGUUACCCAAGACAAGCUAAAUAUUCUGGCAGGAACCUUGGGAUGUUCUAUUGGCUCAAUGCCCUUCACUUACCUUGGGUUACCUCUAUGCAUCCCAAGACCAAGAUUACAGGAAUUCAUGCCCAUGAUUAGGAAAUGUGAAAACAAGCUAGCUUUCAUCUCCCAGUUUCUAAAUCAGACAGGAAGACUUCAAAUGGUCAAUGCAGUCUUGUCUGCCCUUCCAACAUUCUUCAUGUGCUCAGUUCUUCUCCCAAAGGCAGUCAUCAAGCAAAUUGACAAAUAUAGAAAACAUUGUCUUUGGAGGGGUUCAUCCAUCAACGAAAAGGGAGCCCCAAAGGCAGCUUGGAAAAUGAUAUGUGUUCCCAAAGACCAGGGGGGCUGGGAGUUAUUGAUUUAGAAAAACAAAACAAGGCCGUGAUACUGAAAAACCUCCACAAAUUCUUUAACAAAGAAAGCCUUCCUUGGGUGGACUUAGUGUGGGAAAAGCACUACUCCAACAACAAGCUACCAAACCACACUAGGAAGGGCUCCUUUUGGUGGAGGGAUGUUUUGAAGCUGCUGCCUCAGUUCAAAGAAUUAGCGGUACCUCAUUUCAAGAAUGGAUCUACUAUUCUUUUCUGGAUGGAUUCUUGGUCUGACUCCCCUAUUGUAGUUAAAUACCCUGAACUUUUCUCUUAUGCAAAAAACAAGCAGAUUAGUGCAGCCAGAGCUCUUGAAUUUCCAGAUCUCUCUUCUUUGAUACAGCUUCCACUUUUAGAGCAAGCUUUCUCAGAACUGCAAUACCUCCAGGAAGCAAUCCUAAAUAGAUCAGCAAAUUCAGAAAGUGAUAAAUGGACCUGUGUGGGUCAAGCAGCUCAUUAUUCAGCAAAAAGAGUUUACAGGUUUUUGUCAGGUGCAACUAGCAACAAUAUCUUCUUUAAAUGGAUAUGGAAAAAUAAGGUUCAGCCAAAGCACAAGGUCUUCUUUUGGCUUCUGAUAAAAGACAGACUAAACACCAAAAAUUUACUAAAAAGGAAGAAGAUGGACAUCAACUGUUACAGCUGUGCCUUAUGCAGCUACUUAUCUGAAGAAACAGCACAACACCUUUUCCUGAAUUGUGAUUUUGCUAGAAUGUGUUGGAAUUUGAUCGGUGUUGACAUCCCCCUGCAGUCUAAUAUAGAAGAGCUCAUCCCUUUGAUCAAAGCGCAAAUCAACUCUCAGUUCUUCAUGGAAACCAUCAUUUUGCUGUGUUGGACCAUUUGGAAUGCAAGAAACGAACUCAUUUUCAGAGGUAAUGGAUCAAAUAGCUUGGACUGUGCAAGAUUCUUCUUUAAAGAGCUAAGACUCAUCCGUCACAGGCUGAAGCAGGACCUACAUCAAGCCCUUGACUCAUGGAUUCAAUCCCUAGAGCUUAUUGCUGCUUGAUGCAGAUCUUCUUUAUCUCCUUUUUUGUUCCUUAAUAUUUUUCACCUUGUUUUAGUUUAGCUCCAGUUUAGUUUUUUAGUCCGUUAGCUUAGUAGUCUUUCUUGCUCCUCCCUUUCUUUGUAUCUUCUUUCUCCCUAUUUGCGCUACCUUUGUUAUUUUUUUAAUAUUUUAUCGCUGCAGGGGUUCACACCCCUCCAGAUUUCUCAAAAAACAUAAUUGCAAUUAACCUGUAUGUAUUGUCACACACAGAAAAAUCUUGAAAUUUCCCUAUGUGUUUUUAUAUUUUUUGUCGGGGUUUUGAAACCGAUACUUUAAUCAUGAUUUUUCCUAUGUGUGUCGCAAAACAACGGAAAAAUUCAUCACCCACUGCCGGUUUCCGUAGUGAUGCACAUAAUAUAUUACUCUUACCUUCUCAAAUUAUAAAUCAAUCUAAUUUUCUUGAAGAGUCAAAACAUCUUAAGUUUGACCAAAAUUAUAAAAAAUACAAAAGAUUAUGAUAUCAAAUAGCACUACUACAUAAAAAUUUUAUCGUGGCGGGCAAAAGGGAUUAACCAAGGCGGGUUUUGCAACCGCCUUGAAGGAAAGGUCACUAUAAAUCAAUGAUUUACCGAGGCGGUUCCAAUGCCCGCCACAGUAAAUCAGAUAAAAAACAAAAAAAACCAUAUCAAGCCCAACCAAGCCUAGAUCUGGGCUUAGCUCUGCAGCCCCUACGCGCCGCCGCCGUCGUGGGGAGGCCAGAUCUGGCGCUGCCAUGGUGGAGCCGGACCAUUGCCCUCCUCCUUGGAUCCAUUGCCGCCGUGGUGAAGCCGCACUGAGCCCUCCUCCCUGGAUCCAUUGCCGCCAUGGUGGAGCCGCGCCGGAGCCCUCCUCCCCGGAUCCACCACCGCCAUGGUGGAGCCACGCGGAGCCCUCCUCAUUAGAUCCGCUAACGCCGUGGUGGAGUCGCGUCCGUGGCCUCCACCUCGGAUCUGCCGCGGUCGUGGUGGAGCCGCGCUAGAGACGAUGCCCCCGCCGCGGCGCCUGGCCAUGCGCCACCAUGGACCCCCGCUGCCACUCGCUGGGUGGAGGGAGAGGGAGGAGACCAUGCACCGGCUGAGGCUCACCAUGGAAGGAGCUUCAGAUGGAGGUGCCAUGGGAGGAGAGAAGGGGAAGGGAGGGGGCGAGUCGGACAUGAGACAGGGAGGCGCCUCUGUGCGUUGCGAGGGGAAAGGGGAGGGGGCGAGUUUGGGCGUUGGACUGGGGAAGAGUGCGGCUGAGGAGGGAGUGGGUUGAAACCCUAAGUGGCUAAGUGUGGUAUUUAUAUGUUGUGCACGUUAUUGGGCCAAGAUGGUUAGUUUGGGCUCUAAAAUGGGCCAAUAUUAUCUGAGGCGGGCUUUAUAGUAUGUCCAUCUCGGUUAAUAUAUUAAACGAGGCGUUUGCAUUAGAACAAACGUCUCGGUUAAUCGAUAUUAAUCGAGGCGGACAUUUUUAAGGUGCAUGCCUCGGUUAAUUGAUUUUGCGAGGCAGUUAUCAUAACCACCUUGGUUAAUAUAAAAUGACCGCCUCAGUUAAUGGUAGGCAUUAACCGAGGCGGUUGAAAAUCUUGCCCGUCUCCGAGGGCUAUUUCAAAACGCCUCGCAAAAGAUUUUUUUGUAGUAGUGUAGGUAUACUAUAAAAACAUAAUUAAUGAAAAAUCUAAUCAUGCUUAUUUGAUAUCAUAAAUGUUAUUAUUUUGUUAUAUAAAUUUGAUCAAACUUAAAAUACUUUGACUCUUCAUGAAAAUUAGAUCGACUUAAAAUUUGGGACGGCCGUUAGCAAUUGUCAUGCAACAUCAACUCUUGCCGAUAAGCUCCCCACCAUGUAUUUACCUACGAUUUUUUGAUAUAGUAUGCUGUUUUUCUUAAGCAUGGUAAUAUGCUUGGAAAUACAAUAUUUUUCUGAAGAGUUAUGUUAAUACAAUAUUAUCUACCGCGAUUGGCGGGAAACUAAUCAAUGCAAGAUAUAAUGGUCCAAAGUCAUCAGUGACUUUUCCACACGACAUACAUGUUGUGUGUUGUACACUUGUACUGUGCUGUGGAAAUUCUACGUGCACCAUCCUAUUUCUUCGUACCAGACGUUUCAACCUUCAACGCGCCCUAGAAGUUUGGACGAAGUACGUAUCUGUGAAAAAUCCUAAUGACAAACAAUCUUCGUCGCAAAAAAAAAAAAAAAACAAAACAAAAUGACAAUCAAUCUUUUCUGGAACCCUAACUACUCUUGCACAGGUACUGGCCACUCCGUUUGCCCGAGUGAUGCUUAAUGAAAUUUUGGUGGGGAAUCUCUCCCCACCGUCUGAUAAAAAAAAAAAAAAAACUCUUGCACGCGUGAAGAAUCGGAUUGGUCAUGGCCCGGCCGAUACCAGAUGAAGUAAACCUUCUCGAGAAUGCCGUGCCCGGCCAUUUUUGUAGCUGCUGCUCCUAAAAGUCUACUAAACGAAAGCCAAGUUUAUCUAAAUUUAUCCCGCCGAUGGACGAUCCUAUCGGAUAUGCAAUCCCAUGCCAUGGAAAUUCUUGCCCUUCUUGGAAUUUUUUUAGCUCUUGUAGGCUCCACCAUUGACCCUGACGGUGACCAUGCCAAGUACAGCAAAUUAACAGUCACCGUGUUUUACUAGUAUAUGCCAUCUUGCUUGGACAAGUCUCACUAAAUUCAUCAGUAUAAAUACCGUGGCCAGUCGCCACAUCUCAUGCACCAAAAUCCAUCUACCACAACAGCGCGCCAUCUCUGCUCAUUCAGAUAACUUGGUCAGCAGCAACAGCGGCAAUGGCGUCGUCCUCCUCGUCACCGACGAAGCUGCUAGCGUGCCUCGUCGCCGCAGCUCUGGCGCUGGCUGCCACCGUCGUCGCGCCGUGCGCGGCGCAGAACUCGCCGCAGGACUACGUGAACCCGCACAACGCGGCGCGCGCCGACGUCGGCGUCGGCCCGGUGUCGUGGGACGACACGGUGGCCGCGUACGCGCAGAGCUACGCGGCGCAGCGGCAGGGCGACUGCAAGCUGAUCCACUCCGGCGGUCCCUACGGCGAGAACAUCUUCUGGGGCUCCGCCGGCGCCGACUGGUCGGCGUCCGACGCCGUGGCGUCGUGGGUUUCCGAGAAGCAGUACUACAACCACGACACCAACAGCUGCGCGGACGGCAAGGUGUGCGGGCACUACACGCAGGUGGUGUGGCGUGACUCCACGGCCAUCGGCUGCGCCCGCGUCGUCUGCGACAACAACGCCGGCGUCUUCAUCAUCUGCAGCUACAACCCGCCGGGCAACUACGUCGGCCAGAGCCCAUACUAGACGUAGUAGUGUGCCGUAUGCAUGAAUUGAAUACAUGCAAGUAUACGUACUGGGGUCGGAGUGAAAAUAAAUUGUUGUCAACUUUAUACCAUACUAUGAAUGUUGAUAAACAUAAUAAGUCAAUAAAAUCAUGUGAUUGCUGAGGCAUAUAUAUUUUUGUUCUUAUAUUUUGAUCGUUAAUUACUACAGAAACGAUCUUUAGGAACAUGCAUGAUCAAUUUUAGUACUAUACUACAACCAAUUUGCAGCGUCGCAUAACAAGACCAUGUGAUUUUUCAUAUAUGCUAUUACAUCUGCCCAAAAAAAAUAAAAAUAAACACUACUAUAAAACCCAUUCUCAAUAUCAUUUUCUCCAUCUUUACAGUAAAUGCUACUACGUCCACCUAAAAAUGCACAAUAAACACUUUCACAAUAUCAUUUUUUUGGCACUGAUGUAGUAAUAACUUAUUGUGAUAAAUUUGUUAUCACUAUCGGUUCGUUACACAAUUGUGGUAACAUACAACACCACAAUCGGCCCACUAGCCUAAUAGAAAACACUAAGGCUGUGUUUGGUUCUUUGGAAUUUGGCCCAGGAACAAUUCUAUCUCCUCAAGACUAUACAAAUUAGUGAAGCAAUCCAAAACUAGGAAUUAUUCGAGGCCCUCAUUCCAGUAGAACCGAACAAGGCCUAAGGCUUUGUCCUCACUCUAUUUCAGACUCUUCCCUCUCUCAUAGCCGCUGCUCUAGCACCGCCUCCACGUCCCAAGACCCCAACGCCACCGAACUGGAGCUCUAUAAUUUCAUCAAUUUUUAGUUUUAGGUCCCGUCAAACUAUAAAUUUGAUGUAAUUUUUUCAUCUGACUUUAUUUGAAUAAAUUAUAAAUUAUUCAUGCUAUAGCUGUUUUUGAGGUCCAUGCAUGUUUGAAAUUUGAUUUCUAAGUAUGGCUGACUUACCUAGAAAUCAUUCAUUUUAGAGUCGGUUGACAUAAGCAACCAUCCCUAAAAUAUAUUUUUAGAGAUGGGGUAGAUAUAUUUUCAGUGAUAGUUCACUUAGUAGAACCAUGGUUUGUAAGGUAUGGUGUUUCCGGAGCUAGUUGCAAAUAGUUUUCUAUGUAGAACACCCUUGAAAAAUAGAAGACAUCUCAAAUUAUUUUUUUAACUGGUGUGACUGUGCGAAGAACGCUCGUGAGGACUCACGGUCACGGCGCUGGAGCACAUAUUGGCCGCCAGAGUCACCCAGGUGUACAACUCCAGGAAACUAAAGUUGCCACGUCAAUCCAUUACCAUGGCGGCGGUGGCGUGGCACAGCCUUUUGUUUUAAGAUAAAUAAAAAAGGACCGACCGGCGCUGAUCUUGACCAUUACAAACUUGUUUGUUUAAAAAUAUUGUUCGCUGAUUUAUUGUGAGAGAAAAACACUGCUGAAUAGCUGGCAGAUUCAAUAGAUAAGCUUAACCAAAUACAUUAGUCACUGCUCUAGGUCUCCAACGUACAGACAAAAUGCAGAGAAAAUGAAGAAGAAAUGAUGAGCACGCGACUGAGAGUGAAUGAAUACACUGCAGUCAUAGUACGUUUGUAAUCAGCUGUAUCAAAGUUCUUGACAAAAUAUAUAUAUAAUACAGGGCUUGCACAUCCAACAGUCUUGGAACAGAAACUAAGAUUAAUUAGCAUGGUAUAUAAAUUAAAGGUGCAACAAACAUCAUUGCAAAAUUAAAAGUGACAUCUCAAAAGCACGCCACGGGUAAAGAAGACCACACAGCGCGCGCGCACAACUGUAAAUGAAGUAAUCCAAAGCAAAGCGGCCAUGGUAGGCCGCCUAAAACAAAGUUGACACAGCAGAAUAAGACCAACGACCAUACGGACUAAUCAAGCACACAUGCAUGAAGAAAAGACAAAUCCAUUAAACAGCACCAGAAGAAGUUGCUGCAUCGCCAUCUUCUUCACCUGGCCUGCUGACGAUCCCGGCGUGGAAGAGCAACGCCCAGAGCAGCGUUAUCAGCUCGCCACCCCUGGCAAUGGCCUCCGAGUGACCCUUGAGGUUGUCUGAUGGCGCGACGAACAGGAUCAUCUCUGACCAGAAGUCAGCCAGCAGCUUCCACGCCAUCUCCUCACCAUUGAUUUUCUCCACCAGCUGCUUUGCCAGCUCCACACCAUUCUUGAGCACCUCAUGCUUCGAGUUCUCACUCAGCAAGUGGACCAGCUUUUGAUACUCAUCUUCUGGCUCCGAUGACCUUGCUACUGCGUGACCGGCGAGGGCAUGCUCUGCGUCCUUCUUGACAGCCUUGUACAAGCUCUUGCUCCAUGCAUUGUCUUAUCCGGAAGUAGCUCAGGGCACCAACUCACUAGGUAUGCACAGUACUUUGACAAGUGACUGGCAACAAUCUUAUAAUCUGUAGAGCUGGGAUUUGGUGGAGAACCCUGUUCUUGAUGAUCAGCUCGGUAUGGGUGUUUCACUUCAAGGAUGCAUGUGGCGAUAUGCCAUGUGAGUAUGAUAUCCGAUGUACCUUUGCCAUUGCAAGCCCCAAUAAAGCUUUGUCCACCAACUUGGCUUUGUCGUAGAGAUUCUGCACCAUUGCUCAAACGGUGUCCAUUGAUCAGAUUUCUUACUGCAUUCAGGAUGCUAACCUUCACGGCCGCUGGCACCUCCAUUUUCCUCCUCUGAUCUGGGACACGGAGGAGACGGUAUACAAGAACUAUUGGGGUUGUUUUUGGCUGAGGUACCAACACUGAGCACUGGCUCAUUUUUUCAUCCCAGUGUUUCAUCAGCUUGCAUCUGCAGCGUAACAAACUACUAACCAAUUUUCGCAUGCAUAGUGAAUGUGGUGAAGAGUUGCGGUUGAUGUAGCAGCAAAUAAGGGUAACUUUUGUCCAGUUGGAGCAAAUAUAGGAAACCAAGCUUCUAACCUCAGCUGUCACCGCUAACAUCAGAACCAAAAAUAUUGGCAACAGAUCGAAGGACCACUCUCCCAUAUUGAUGUGCGACAUGUAGCUUGCUAAGUUCCCUUGAAUACACCAUAAUUUACACUGAAGUUGUUGGCCCCUCCCAUGCUCUAAGAUCUUCCGUACUAUGUUUGCUAUGACUAGCAAAGUAAACAAGAUACAAUAAACUACUGUGAAAAGUGAUAAAAUGAUAUCCAAGAUGGGCAGGCAACAAUUUGAAUAGGAGAUUGGGAGAGACGAGUAAUAAUAAUCAUGAAGAAAUGAUAACUCUUCCUCAAUCACCACAAAUACCCUUUCAUCUUCUCCAACCUUGUGCAACAAGCUCCGGAAAAAGUUGCGAGUCCCAGUAGAGCCACCAUUAGUGAUCUUAUACCGUGCAAACCGACAUCGCAACAACUUGAACAAAGCAAAGGACAAGCAUAUAUCUUUUAACUGUGGCGUUGCAAUUAGAAGCAUGCUAUCUAACUGCCAAACUCUAUCAAUAGUCACCAAUCCAACAUGUUUGUUCAGCAUUGUUUCAGAGUCAUCCUUGAAUGUAUACCCAUGAGGAUGCUUCUCCACUUGUUCCUCCGAUUCUCUCAUAACCAAGAGUGGGGGAGCAUGUGCACCAUCACCUACCAGCGGUUCAUCAACAUGCUGAUGUGCUGCUUCUUGUGCUUGUAACUUCUGCAUGUAAACAAAAACAAGUCCUGGAUUGCGUCCGAGUGUGAAGGACGACCGCCGUGCCAUUUCGAAUGCAUAAAAUUUGAGCCCUAUUUUGGAGCAUAGCAGAGCAUAAGGUGUGAUGAAGAUGAAGAUGAGUCCUAUAAUGAAGCCCUCUGCGGCAUAGAGCUUAAGGAGACCACCGGCAGCAAGGUAAAAAGUCCAAAUCCCCUGUAUAAGCAGCUCGGGCGGGGGACCUUUGGAUUGGCCUUCUCUGUCAUCAACAGAGACUAUUGUGCUUGUAUUGAUCAUGACUACCAGCACAAGGGAUGCCAGAAUUACGAAGAAUACCACGUGGCUAAGUGCAUUGCAUUGUGCAACGAUCGCCAGCUCACCAUAAUCACCAUAAUCCUCACCAUAAUCUUCAUACAGUGAGGAAAACCUGAUGUAAUUAGGGUGGAGGCUGAUGGUGGAGGUGAGAUAGGAGAUGAUGGGCAAGAAAAGUGUGUUGGCUCCAAGGAAGACAAAGCGAGUGAAGGGGUGGUGGCGGUACCGCUGACCAUAGGCGCCUAUCCCAACAAGUACUACAGCCAGGACAGGUUGAACCACUAGCAGGGCAUUAACCUCCCAUAGCUGCCGUCUAAUGCUCUCGUGGACGGUUGUCUGGAGAUCCAUCGCUUGUUUGGAGCAAUUUCCGAUCAGCUUCCCAUUCCCUCCAGCCAUGCUCAGCUGCCUGCCAAACUUCAAGUCGUUAGCUAGCACCAUGCAAGGCAAGGCACAUGCAACCUCGUGCAAGAUAGACGGUGUUGUAUGUACGAGAAACUAUUAACAUGCAAGUAAUUUGAAGAAAAAAAAUAAACGAGUGGAGGAAUUACAUGAAUUAAUUAAGGUGUGGCGGUAUAGCUUAGGCCGAGAUCCAGCUGACUGGUGCUGCGCAAUCCAGCAGCCCAGCCGCUCAGCGUUUCUUAUGGAUGGUUUCCUUCGUAAUGGAGUUUUGGGCUUGCUAGCUACUCACGCGUAUUAGAGAAGGGUAUAUAUGGGAGAUGCCGAGAGGAAGAAAGUAGAGGUUGAACCUGACCUUUGGAACGAUUGGGUCAUGAUCCCACGGCUAUUACAGCCAAGAAUCUUUGAUGUUCCAUAAGUAUUAGAAGUUUUGAGGACAUAUUUAGUAGGUAGAACUAAUCAAAUGAUUAUCUUUACUCUCUCAUUUUAUUUUCUAACACAGUACCCAUUUAAAUACUAUAUUCUUUAUUUGGUUGCAAUAAAUUAAUCUACCUAUUACUCUAUAUAUAUGUUUUACCAUCAUUUGCACUGCGCCUUGGUGGGUUUAAUUUAUAUGUAUGUGUCCAAAUAUUCGGUGUGAUAGGAGUUAAAGUUUACCGCUAGAAAUCAAACAGGGACUAAGUAUUGUCUCGGCGCUGCUAAAACUACACCAGGGAAAAAUCGCAAACCUUUGAAGUUUGUAUAUGUCGUUAUGCUUUUAGUUUUAAGUUUUACUCUAGAUAGUUGAUGAUGCAAUCUGCUGUGAAUCCUUUUUAAUUAAUCUUUAAGGAAACAGCAACAUGGAUGUAUGAACUGAUGACUCAACACAGUCUAUUUUCAUGUUCAACAAGGAAAAUGAAAUAAUGAUUCUCUUGUGUUUUUGAAUUGUAGGAGACUAGGAGGAUUCCCCGCGUGUUGCCGCGGGUAUGAAGAAGGAAUAUAAAUGUUAGAACGUAUAGAAAUGUGACUUGCUGACAGAUAUUAUAAUUACAUAAGUUAGUAGAUUUUAAUUGUAUGUGAUAGUAGAUUGUCUAGUUGGAUAGCUUGUAUGUUGAUAGAAAUAGGUAGUUAGGUGUCAUAGUGGAUUGUCACAUGUUAAAAAAAUAGGUAGUGAGAUUUUGCUUUAUAAAAGUAUAGUAAGAUUGAAAGUCGCUGCAACACAGCAGGAAACCCAGGGUUUAUUUUAGUCUGGUCAUUCACUCAAAUGUACGUAAAUUAGCUAGGUAAUCUGCUGUGGAUCGGAAUAUAUACUUUGCUUUAUUCAUGGAAGAGCAGGUGUUCUGCUAAUCUUUUAAAAAAGGAAUAAACAAUGAAAAAAGAAAAGCAGCUAGUACCUUAAAUCAAGCAUCAUCAUAUGCAUGCGAGGUCCCCUUUAUUCCUCAGCGCCUGCGUUUUUCUUUUUCUCUUUGAUUUCCGUCUUUUUUUUCUUUAAUUUCUGCCUUUGUCUAUCAUUAUUACCUUCUCCAUUGCACAGACGAUAUGAAGCAAGUCGAGUGACUAGAAUGGCACGAGCUCGAGUGACUUGUGGCGAGCGUGUGAGAGAGCGUGUGUUUGGCUCAGAGUAAUACAUGGAGAGGCCAAGUCUAAACAACGACUAUCUUCAUUUCUAUUUAAAUUUGUCUAAUCAAUGAUUCCCACACCAUUGCCGUCCACUAUACACCACUUGGUACGUGCGGAGCUAUUACCACCAUGGCCACUAAACCACUCAGCCCACCAGGGUGUCUUGGAGUCAGUGGCGGAGCCAGGAUUUGAAUCUUGGGUAUUCCUUUGUUAGUGUCUAGUGAGUCGUUAUUCAGCUGUUGCCUCUAACCUUCGACCGACGUGCGCUCUCGCCGGUCGCCAUGUAAGCAUAGCAUAGAGAUAGAGGUCGCGUCCGCGCUGCAUGUCCCGCGCUGCCAGGAGCUUAGGACAUUGAGAACCAGCAGUACCGCCACCACAUCAUGCCUGGUAGGCUAGGGUGAGAGAUUUAGGCCUUGUUUAGUUCGCAAAAAUUUUCAAGAUUCCUCGUCACUUCGAAUCUUUGGUUGCAUGCAUGGAGCAUUAAAUAUAGAUGAAAAUAAAAACGAAUUACACAGUUUACCUGUAAUUUGUAAGAUGAAUCUUUUGAGCCUAGUUACUCCUUGUUUAGACAAUGUUUGUCAAAUAAAAACGAAAGUGCUACAGUAGCCAAAAAUGGAAAUUUUUGCCAACUAAACAAGGCCUUAGGAAUGAGGAUUAUGGAAUAGUCUCCCACUCAUGUCCUUAUUAUAUAUGCUGCCAUGUGCAUAUUUCCAUAUUUAGAUCCAAAAAGUUUUUCGAUUGGAGUAACUAGGCUUAAAAGAUUUGUCUCACGAUUUACACGCAAUCUGUGCAAUUAGUUUUUAUUUUCAUAUAUAUUGAAAAGUUUUUUGGUUUUAGGAUGAACUAAACAAGGCCUUAUGUUGGAAAAGAAUUUAGAAAUAAAAUAUGAUUUGUACUAAUAUUUAGUGACAUGGUCAAUAUGUAUGUGGUCUGAAGAUAAAUAAUUAGAUUCUCAUUUACAGAAACAACAAAUUAGUACAAAUUCCUUUGAAAAGAAUGAGAGAGAAAUUUUAUUUGUUAAAUAUAGAAAUGCUAAUAUAUUUGAUAUACAUAUAUAUAAAUAUACCUAUAUAUACUUAGUGCACAAAAAGUUAGGUAUUCCUAGGAAUACCAGGAAUACCUGGUGUAUUCGCCCAUGCUUGAGGCAUGUUUGGUAACGCGACUCUGAAUGGCCUGGCUGGCUGGCCUAGUCUAGGUCAGCUCGAGCCUGGUCAUAACGGUGCAAUCUCAUAUGUUUGGUUGUCUAUUCUAACAGAGACGAGCUCACUUCAAAUCGUGUUUGAUUGGUAGUAUACUAGAAUCUGGUAACCCUAGACUUACAACAUGGUAAUGUUACCUCCUCUUUGUCAUUUCAUCGCGAAUACAUGGAGGUCGUCGGCGUCGAGGCAUGGCAUGGCUCCGAUUGGCGGUGAGGCAUGGCUGCAUACGACGGUGAACCCUCCUCCCCAUCCCUCUCUGCUUGCCUACACCUUAGUCACCACUAGCGUAACUCGCGAACGCGGAGCACACUACGCCAUUGUUGUGGCUGCUCGACCUGAUGACAAGCUCGCAGCCACCGCCAGGGCAGCCUCUCUCCAUGCCGCACCUGGAGCACGGCAUGGGAGCAAGAGUGUCUACGGCCGGCGGCGGCGCCGCUUCUAGGAGCAACGUGACCGAGGCGGUGGUGUCAGAGGGGCGCCGCUUUCAGGAGCCCAUCCAUCGCGUUGCGUGGUCCCCGUGUGUCCCUAGAGGAGGAGGCAGUGUGGCGGGACUCUGAUUUUCCCAGAUCUCAUGACCGGGUCCGGCUCUGCCACCAUUGCCGUGACAGAGGCAAUGUUGCUUUGCAUAGCAUCCGUGCAGAAUAGGCUAUCCAGUGACUCGUACAUGCCGAUGUCGAAGAAGGCGAACUCAUCGCAGAAGAGGAGCACAUUUGGCUCAGAGCCGGAGGAGGCCUAUGGUGAUGCCUCGUCUUCUGUGCUCUUCGACUCAGUCCUUGGCUGCUUCUUGUCGCCACUCUAGCCUCAACAUCGAGGGCGGGGGCUGCGUCAUACGCCGCUGGCAUGCCCUACCGUGAGAUGUCCAGGAGUGCGCCAGAGCCAGAGCGCUCAUUGGCCUCGUACUUCAAGGCGGCGCUGCUCUUCUUCCUCUUGGUUGACAAGGUCGAUGACGGUGGCGUCGGUGGUGUGCGUGCUUGUGACUGGCUAGCUAGGGCCCCGAUGGUGGCGGAGAAGAGAAAUAGGUGAGAGGCCGGGAGGUGGCAAGUUCGUUCACUGCACGCUCCUUCUCGCUCCACCUGGCUAGGCUAUGGAAAAACAAAACCCCCCAUCAUUUUAGUUGAUCCCAUAACUAUAAAUAGUUGAUUGCGCAACUCGACAUGUAAGUGGAGGGUCGGCUCCCAGGGGGGGAGAGGAUAGACUUAGACAAACCGAUAAGCUAACAAGUGGAACAACCGAGUGUCUUCCACCAGCAGAAAUCUCCACUUUUGUGACGCUAGGGAGAACCCUCACCGCUGACACCGUAAGCUAGCACUGAGCAAUCCCCUACCAAACUCUCAUUCUCCUUCAUUAUAAACCCCCUGAGAUUUGGGUGCUCCUGAAUACGAAGAACACCACACUACUAGACGAGGGCCUCGAUAGCCAAAACUAGGAUAAACCGUCAUGUCUAUCUUGUGUUUUUAAGUACCCAAGCCACCGGAGACCCACACUUCUUAUAUUCGACAAACAACCAUGAUGCUUUGCAGUUAUGAAUCCGCGACAACUAGCACACAAAGUAGGGAAGUGUCGAAUGUGAAUUCGGCUCUAUGGUGGCCGGAGCCACCCGACUUGUCGCCGAAGCAGGUUUAAAUGAAGGGGCUGAUUGAUGAUUCUUCUUGGGAUACAAAGUUGGACCAUAUUGGGCCCAAAAAAUGGGAGGAGAGAAAGCAGUCGGUGGAAAUUUAGUCUUCUUCAACUCCUAGAACUAUCAUUGUGUUCUGAUUUUUCUGCUAAAACUAUAAAACCGCAUAUCUUACCCCCCCCCCCCCCCCUCAUCUCUCAGAAUCAAUUACCUCCCUAUCCUAGUUAAAAAUGGUGAUAAAUGCCAGAUAAGACUUUUAAACCAUAAAAAUAUCUCUACGGAUAUUUACAGGCCGUGAAAGUAGCUCUAAAAGCUUUCAAAAAUAGAUUUACCUUUUCAGAAAAUAGAAAAUAAACAGAGAAAUCUGUAGAAUUCCCAAAAUAUUCUAAUUGAUGCAUAAACACGUUUUCAAAACUUUCUAUAGGAAACAUGAGGGCAAUAUCAGCAGCAUAUGCAUUUAGCAUCAUAUUUGUGUUGCUUUCUUGUCGUCUGCAUCUCAUAUUUUUGUUAUUGGAAAUUCCUUAGACACAUUUGGACAUCAAUUAUGGAAAAUGUUCAUAUUUAUUUGGAUAUUUUCUCUUUUUCUUGAGCUAUACAUAAAUUUUUGGAAGCUACUAAAGUUAAUUUCCUUAGCUCUCAAUAUUUUAUUUGGGUUUAUAAAUAUUUUAAUUGGGGUUUUCAAGUACCAAUCUUACUUUAGGAUUUCUCCCAAAAUUUUAGAAGCUUAGACGUAGUUUUCAUGGUUAAAAACCUUAUCAUAUUUUUAGAACCAAAUUGUCCUCCUGAGAAGCACUGCUAACGGAGCGGGGAAGUAAUUGAAAAGACUUUGAAGAGUUGGGGUGGGGGGGGGGGUGGGGGGGGGGGUUAAGAUUUCCAUUUGUGAUGUUCGAAAAAGAAAUUGGACUAUGAUAGUAGUUCAAGGAGGAUUGUUUUUUCUGAAUUUGCGAGCGUGUUCUCUGUUGGCCCAUUAGGACAAUGGAGAGGCACGAGACAAUAUUUGCUUGGCAACGGAAGCAGGCAGCAAUUGGCAAUAUAUUGGCCUCAUGACUUGAUUUGGCUACAAAAUGCAGAAGAGAAAACUAAACCAACAUCCAGAUGCAUGUAGUUUUGAAAAAAAAAUGCAUCGGCGCUGCUGGACCGCAGAACGCCGCUUCUGCCAUGGUCUACAGACUUCGGCCACCUGUGUCAUAUGUGACCAACUACCUGAGACCAUUGAUCACAUUCUUCUGGGCUGUUGUUUCAGUAGGGAAGUUUGGCAAAUUUGCUUCAGCAAGCUGCACCUGCAGGGCUUCGUUGUUGUCAAUGAGGAGCCUGUGAUGCAUUGGUGGGUUCACAGCAGGAAGGCAGUCCCUAAGCAACUUCGGUGUGGAUUCGACUUGCUUUUUUUCUAGUGGGCUGGCUGCUUUCGAAGGAGAGGAAUGCGAGAACUUUCGAUGCAGUCACCUCGACACUGUUACAGCUGGCAACAAGAAUUAUGGAUGAUAUUGUUGUCUGGGAACUGGCAGGGUUUAAACCCUUCUUGGCUCUUCUAGGUUUGGUGUCUUCUUAGUAGUCCUCUCCCCGCUUCCUCUUUAGCCAUCUUGGCUACUGCCUGUUCCUUUGCUGUUGAGUGUUUUGGUUCUAUGUUCGGCAACAUAUGGUUACCGUGUAACUAGCUGUAUCCUUCAAAGCUAUUCCUGCUUAAUGAAAAACAUGCCUCCCGACGUGGUCUAGAAAAAAAAAUUCUUUGGCACUUACUCAUCAAACGUUAUUCUACCAUGCAAGUCAUUCGUACAAAAGCUUACACAUACAUGGAUCAUCACACAGUAUGUGGAGACAGUAAACAAUUUGUAUCUGAAUUAUUAGUAAAUCUUAAGAGCUUCAUUACAACAUUAUUUCAGGCAGGACACCAAACAGACUAGUUACAAUUGAUACAGAAGACAAGAGUACCAUUAUCACAUCAGCAGCGACGACAACAUCAUUCAGAGUGGCACCUCAUCAAAUGAAAUGCACUCGGCAUGCAGAAACAUUACCUCACAGGCCGACAGGCGUACAGCGAGGCGACAAAGUAUGAAAUAAUUAAAACCAACGCUGAUUUUUUGUUGGCGAAAGCAUAACAAACCAACCCUGAAUUAAAACAUGCAUGUAUGAGUAGUAGGUAAUAGGAUAAGACUCCAUUAGACCACACCAGCGGCAGAGGUAGCAGCAGCAGCAGCAGCAGCAGCACUGUUGUUCUCGCCUGGCCUGCUGACGAUCCCAGCAUGGAAGAGCAGCACCCAUAGCAGCGUUAUCAGCUCGCCGCCCCUGGCGAUUGCCUCUUUGUGCCCUUUGAGAUUGUCGGACGGCGCAACAUACAGGACCAUCUCCGACCAGAAUUCAGCCAACAACUUCCACGCCGUAUCAUCACCACCAUGUAGCACCAGCUUCGCCAAUUGCUCUCCCAGCCUCGCGCCGUCCUUGACUACUUGAUGCUUCGCUUUUGUACUCAGCAAUUCGACCAGCUGUUGGCAUUUGACUUCCUGCGUCAAUGAAUCUCCUGCCGUGCAGCCGGCAAGGACACGCCGAGUGUCCUUCUUGACAUUCUCGUACAGGCUCCUGCUCCAUUCGUGGUCAUCGGGAAGCAGCUCAGGGCACCAUGUCACGAGGUAAGCACAGUACCGUGAUAGGUGGGUGGCAACCAUUUUGUAGUCAGUGUUGGAAAGUGGUGGAGAACCUUGUCCUUCGUCAUUCAGGUUUGGGUACCUGACCUCAAGUAUACUUGUGGCGAUGUGCCAUGUGAGUAUGGUAUAAGAUGUACUCUUGUUGCUGCAAGCCCAGUUGAAGCUUUCACCAAGGUCUCGGCAGCGGCGGAGACAUGCUGCUCCAUUGCUGAGCUGUCCUCCAUCAUCUCUAGUCCUUCUUAGCGCUUGCAUGAUGCAAACCUUCACUACUGCUGGCACACUGACCUUCCUGUUCUGGUCUGGUAAAAAAGGGAAAAGGUACCAGAGAAGACCAAGCGGGGUUGCUCUUGGUUGAAGCACCAAUACUGAGAACUGGCCAAUUUUCUCAUCCCAAUGCCUCCUCAAUAACUUGCAUCUGCAGCGGAUCAAAAGGCCGGCACAUUUCUGAAUGCAAAGAGAAUGCUUCGAUGAGGAGGAGGAGGCACGGUUUAGGAGGCGACACACGAGGGCUACUUUGGUCCAGUUAGAGCAGACGUAGGAAGCCAUGUCCCUCACCUCAGUAAUGAAAACUAACACUAAAAGAAAAAGUAGUGGCACCAGACCAAAGAGCCAGCUUCCAUACAAUCUUAUGUCCAAUUGUGUUUGCAACUGAUUUUCAGUGCAACUGAUGAAACACAAAAGCUGAGGUGAACUAGUAUUUACAGCUAAAAGGAAGCUGAGCCACGUUGCAGCCAAGAUGCAAUAAGUUAUGCUCAAGAGUGAAAUAAAGAUACCCACGAUGGGCAACCAGCACUUGGAAUAGGAGAUCGGUAUGGAUGUGUAAUAAUAGUCAUGAACAAAAGAAAUCUCCUCUGAAAUCAACCGAAACACCCUGUUGUGGUCUCCCUCCUUGAGCAGCAAGCUCCAGAAAAAAGUGAACAUGUCACUCGAGGCAUUAGCAGUGUGGACAUUGUACCCUGCAAACCGGCACCGCAACAACUUGAAGAACGCAAAGGACAAGCAUAAGUCUUGUAGUCGCUGCAGUGUUGAGAACGGAAAGAAGCAGGCUGUCAUCUUCCAAACACUGUCAAUAGUUACCAGGCCAUCUUUACCGUGCACAGCCAUGCCUGAGUCACCCUUCCAUACAUACCCAUGAGACUGCUUCUCCAUGUUUCUUUUUCCCUCUCCCAUAACCACUAGUGGAGGUGGAGGAGGAGCAUCCUCAUUAGUUACUGCUGCUGCUUCUCUACGGUGACUUGUCCUUGCUUGUACCGGUGGUGGUUGCCGCAUGUAGGCAAAAAUAAGAUGAGGAUUGUUUCCGAGAGCAAAGGAUUGCCGUGCCUUUUCAAAUGCAUAAUAUUUGAACACCAUUUUGGCACAUGUGAGAGCAAAAGGUAUCCCUUCAAGUCCAAUUAUAAGCACAACAAAAGUAAUAAGUCCAUCUCUGGAAUUUAUGCCACUAUUAUUAGUGAAGUAGGUGACACCUAGGUAAUAGGUCCAGAGGCCCUGAACAAGCAGGUCAAAAGGAGGACCUAUGUUUCUGCCUUCUCUGUCAUCAACAGCAACUAUUGCACUGGUAUUGAUCAUGAUUAUCUGAACAAGGGAUGCCCAUACUAUGACCACGGGAGAUUGAAAUUCUGGAUCGCAUCUUGCAGCCAACCGCCCCUCAUCUGUGUCUGUGACAUUGUAGUUUGAUCCAGCGACCAAGGGGACAGCGGUGGACAUGACAGGCAAGAACAAGGUGGUGGCUCCAACAAAGAUGAACCUAGUUAGGCGGUGGUAGCGGUAACGUUGGCCAAAGAUGCCUAUCCCAACUAUGACUCCCGCCAGGAUGGCGCUGGCGACCAACAGAGCGUUCACAAGCCACAACCUGUGUCUGAUGCUCUUGUGGAACAAGGACAGGGAUUGGCCAUCGCAUAUAAUCCGGGAGGAGCAUUGUUUGAGUGCAUUGUAGGAGCAGUGGUCUCUAGUUGAAUUCCCUCCAGCCAUGAUUGCCCCUGCUCAUUGCCAAAAUAUCAAGGUUAUAUAAACACAGAUUAUUUUGUAGCAUGCUGAAAUGGAAAUAAUAUGGACUAUGGAGGCAUGUACAUCUUAUCUUACAAUUACUAGUUAGAGGCCUGAACGGAAACACCAUGUUAAUUCUCACUAGGCGCACUAGGAAAAAAGAUAAAUCCUAGAAAUCCUCAUAAUAAUCAGAAACAUCUGACCUUGAAUUUGGUAGACUUGAAUCAUCAUCACCGAUAAAUAGCAAAUGGAUAUAUUGAAUUUAGAAUAAAAAUUACCCACCAUUGUCUUUAAGAAAAAUACAUAAAGUGACCCCCUUAUUUUGUAUCUAAAUUACCCUCCUCCGCCAUUACACAAGAUCAUUCAGAAUAACCUCCUAAAUUGGUAUAUAGAUUACCCAUAACUGUCAUUAUGAAGGAUAAUUCAAAUAGCCCCCAAAAUUGACAUCUAAAUUUCAAAAAUUUGUCAUUAUAAAACAUACUACCAAAUAACCACAUAACAUUGCAUCUAAUUACCCUUCUUAACCAUUAUGAAAGAUAAUUUCAAAUAACCUUCUAACGUUGUAUCUAAAUUCCCAUCUUCUAUAACAAAAGAUGAUUUAAAAUACCCCUAAAGUUUUUAUAAGUUAUCCACCUUUGUGAUUAUAAAAGAUAAAAUAACCUCCUAAGUUUGCAUUCAACCUACCCAUAUGUGUCAUUAUGAACGAUAAAUAUUCGAUGUACCUCAGUCACUAUAAAAGUAAACAAAAUCAUCUCUCAAAUAUACAUGUAAAUACUUAUAUAUGUUGGUAUGGUACAUAUAGAUAUUUCUUGCAAUCGAUUAUGGAGAAGCCAAAAAACGGGUUAUUUAAUUUCUUUUACUUUGAAUAAAAAGAAGAAACAACUAUGAUGAACUCAAGGUAGACAUUUCUGGAAGUAGGUGGGAUUACCCCUUUUCAUUGUACGGACCAUAAUUAUGCCAAAAUCUUCACCCCAACAGGUUGAGAGGCCCCAUCACCGUCUUCAUGUUUUGGCAGUGGAAGUGGACGAUUAUGCCCAUCUUCAUCAAAUGUUGGUAUCAAACUGGCCAUGAAAAUCGAUAAAUUUUUUUUUUAAAAAGUCAAGGUCAAGUGCGUGCCCGCCACACCCAUGGCACCGGUCGUGUCCUUACGCCCCUCGACACUGUUGGCUGAUUCAAACCCUGAUGCCCUCGUCCACCCGAUCAUAGAUCAACACCGUAGGGACGCCGCCUCACCGUUGCUGCCAUAGAGCCUCCUCUGCCCCCGCUGAGGGGGGGGGGGGGGCAGGGGCGAACCUAGCAACAAGCUAGUGGGUGCAAAUGCACCACCCAAAAUUUGAAAAAACAGUGGUUUUUUCUAAAAUUUUACCAUAUAUGCACCACAUAUAACACAAGUCUAUGCACCCACAAGGCAAGUGCACCACCCUCUAAUUUGCUCUAGCUUCGCCACUGGGGGGGCGGGGGACCUGUGAGCGAAGGGAAGCACCCACCGCAAUGGGGAGGUGCACCACCACUAGGGUCAGCAUGCCUGUUGCAAGGGCAGGCAUGGGUGUGGUUAGGGCCAACACAUCCACGCCAAGGGGGUCAUCCCGUCGAGUGUCUACCAUGUGCCGGGUGGUUUGGUACACCAGAUGGUAGGGCGAGAGCCUGGGGAAGGGAGAAACAGAGGGAUAGAGCCUGGGAGAGAGGGGGGAGGAUAACACUGAGUUGAGAGAGAGAGAGAUGGUAAGAGGAUAGAGUUCAGAUGGUAGCAACCUUACUAAAUACAUUGAGGAUCCAAAUUUUGCUUAUGUGAGGGGGCUCUUAACAUCGGUUCUUCUCAACACGAACCGGCAGUGAGAAUGUUUACUGUUUGCUCAUAAGAUGAACUGGUGGUCAAAUUCAUUUUCACCACCGUCCAUGUUCCAUUCUGAACCAAAAAUGAUUUUCAACGUUGGGUCCUUUAUGGACAUGUGGUGACCAACGCUUACUACGUGAAAAUGGUGUAAUGAAAACUAUUUCUUUAGUAGUGCAUGCAUAGAAAUGGCGAAAUAUGAUCCAUUAGGGAAGGAUGCAGCAGCGGUGCCUUCCACCCUGAGCAUUUGUGGCUGGCUUGUAAAACAAUUUGCGCUGCCCUGAGCAUAUGUGAGGUAGAUAUUGUAUGGAUGUGGAAUUGUUGGCUGAUUGUUAAUAAAAUCCAAAAAUAAAUAGUAAUGCUCGAAGCCUGUGCCUCGCCAAGAUGGAACACUACAGACGCGAGACUAGACGAGCAGCGCAGGACGCUGCCCGUGGACACACCAUGGAUGGCCGAGAGUUUUUUAAAAGGCGCCUCGCCGGGCACUUGCACAGAGCAGGGACCCUGUUCGCUGCCUCAAGUGCAAGGGCUUCGGCCACAUCUCACGCCACUGAAGCUCCAGCCGGCGACAACCUUCCGCUCCUGGCUCACCUUCUCGGCCGAUAGCAUCCACAGCCGCCUAGCUUUCCCACCAUUUUGCUCUGCCAGCCAUCCCAACACACCGUCAUCUCAGAACAUUCCAAACAACUCAAUAAACCCACCACCACUACUACACAAAUGAUUUUGCAAGACAAUGUCCAAACAUUUACCGAGACAGUCACAAAACCCAACGCCUCCAAAAAUACCAAACAAUUAACGGAGACAGUCAAUUCAUUUACGAAGGUGGUCAUAUUUGUCUGCCUCGUAAAAUCAAUUAGCAGAGGUAGUCAAAAGCCAACCGCCUCCAAAAAUCGAUUUAUGGAGGCGGUCAGUUUAAGACAACUGCCUCCAAAAAUAGUUUAUUUACGGAGACGGUCAUUUUAAGACAACCGCCUCCAUAAAUCUAUUUUUAGAGGCAGUUAUUUUGUAAGGCCCGCCUCCAAAGAUUUGGGCCAGCCCAUUACCAUUUCUGGGCUCAAUACUAGUGUCAACUAUAUAUAAAUUAAACCCUAACUAGACAUCAGCGCCACUCCCUCCCAGCCUUCCUCCCACAGGCGCCGCUCUUCCCUCUCGAACAAAAGAUGUGCCUUCCUUCCUCCGGUCCCUCUCUCCACUACCUCCCUCUCUCUUCACCACUCUCCCUCUUUCUCUCUAGCACGGAAGCGUGAUGAGCGCCACCUCCCUUCCUCUGGUCCGCGGGGCCAGGCAACAAGCGGUGCAGAUCUAUGAGGCACGAUGGCAUUGGGCCAUGGCAUAGGUCCACGGGGCGCGGUAUCCACGGGCGUAGUGACACAAGGUUGAGUAGCGCGGCCGCGUGGGUCCGUGGGUAGCACAAGAUGGAGGUACUUCAGUUCUCCCCAUCUCCCUAUGGUUUCCUCUCUUCAUCUCGCGCACUCGUCCCUCUCUCCUCUUCACAGAUCUGCAGUUGGCCGGUCCUUCUCUGGCGAUGGCUGGUCACGAUCCGACAACAGCGGGACCAGAUCAAGCCAUCGUGGGGCUAGAUUUGGCAACAGUGGGUCUAGAUUCGUCCACGACGGAUGAGCCUCGAGCUAGAUGCGGCAGUGUGGGCGCGACAGCGGCGGGCUCAAUUGGGCUCACUUGAGCAUUUUUUUUAAAACAAUUAAUAGAGGUGGGCACCCUAAUAGGCUUGCCUCUGUUAAUGGGUUAACCGAGGCGGGCAUAGCAAUCGCCUCGGUUAAGCCUUGAUUAACCGAGGCCAUCGAUUGGAGGCGGUUGCAAUGCCCGCCUCUAUUAACCCAUUUUGCCCGCCUCCAAUAAGAUUUUUGUAGUAGUGCACCAAAGGUCGGAGAGAUGGAGUACGUGCCUGACCAGGCUGCCAACCGCCCAAUGAUGGGUCGUAUGUAUCACCAUCAUUCCAUGGUGCAGCUGAUGCUAGGCGCUAGCGGCGGCCUCGCUCCACUGCGAGCACCUCCAAUGUUCCUCUCAGGUACGAUGAUCCAAUGUUCCUGGAGUCCUCCCUCUCCGUGGGCCCAGUGGUCGGACCUUGCUACUUCUCUAACUCCAGCGGCGAUGAUCCCGUCUCCCCUGGGUCAGGUGUCAAGCCUCAGUCGUUAGGGAAGUCCCAUGAGGGAUCGACCAAAACAUCGGAUGAGGCCCAUAUGGAGCAGGACCUCUAUGAGGGACGUGCACUGUCGGACGGUGGACUGCCUGCUGAUGAUGAUGGCUAGCAAGAAGAUGGACAGACUAAUGUUGAGUUUUGCUGCAGAUUGAUCAAGGAGCUCCUACACCCCGAGCGACCCCUCCCCCGCACACGCAAGCCAAGGAACUCCUAGCUCCUCUACUUCUUAAUCCACAAACUGUCCCUCAGCUAGUUACAGGUAUGUGAAAACAAUGAAAGAAAGUCAAAACCAAGUUAGGUUCGAAUGAACUCAGAAAAUUCUGAAAGUGAUGUUAUGGAUGAAUAGCUAGGGUCUGAUCAGUUUGUACUAUUUAAUUAGGAAGAAAUAUCAUAUUAUUAGUUGUGAUUCUCACAUACUUAUGUGAGAUAUAGAUACUGCGGCACGGAUGUGGAAUUGUUGGCUGAUAGUUAAAAUUCAAAAAUAAAUAAAUCAGACCGCAUUCAUCAGAGGGAGAUGCAUCCACGACAACUUCAGGACUGUGAGCCUCACUUGCAAAUGGUUGAUCAAGGUGGACAUUGUCAAGGCUUUUGACUCCGUGGCUUGGCCUUUCUUGCUAGACCUGCUCCGACAUAUCGGUUUUCCGCAGCGGUGGACUGACUUAUUGUCCAUCAUGCUGUCCUCAGCAAGCCCCAAGCCCCUGAUCAAUGGGCGGCCAGGGCGCCGUAUUUUGCACGCUCGUGGACUGCGUCAGGGCGAUCCUAUGUCUCCAAUGCUCUUCUCAUAGUUAUGGAGGUGCUCAACUCUAUGAUCGUCGAAGCUGAUCAUGCAGCAAAUCCUUUUUAGGUUCCCGGGCUAGGUUAUCCAGCACCAAGCGUCGUUAUAUGCGGAUGACAUGGUGGUGUUCGUCUCCCCAUCAGCGCGCGAUGUGCGCUGCCUCCGAGCAAUUCUGGAGUGCUUCACGGGAGCGUUGGGACUGGUCACUAACACGGACAAAUGUCAAGCUUCACCAAUCCGUUGCUCUGCUGAAGAGAUGGCACUAGUUCGGCGGGCCUUUCCAUGUCGCAUCACCCCUUUUCCAUGCAAGUACCUUGGGGUGCCGCUCUCCAUUUAUAGACUACAUCGAGCAGAGGAACAGACACUCGUCGACAUAGUGGCCAUGAAAAUACCGACCUGGAAGUCGGGCCUCCUCAUGAGCACGGGACGCGUGCUGCUAACGAAAGUGACCUUGUCAGCCAUACAGGUUCACGUUGUCAUCGCGUCGUGUCUCUCCCAGUGGGCGAUCGGCCAGAUAGACAAGAGGAGAAGGGCGUUCCUUUGGACAGGGAAGGAUUCAGUUUCUAGAGGCAAAUGCAAGCUAGCCUGGAAGACGGUGUGCUUGCCAACGGCCAAUAGGGGCCUUGGAAUGAUUGACCUCCGGCUGUUUGGCUACGCUUUGCGCCUUCGGUGGGAAUACUGCGUUCUGUCGAACCUGACAGAGGAUGGGUUCACCUACCGGCCAAGCAGGAGCUGACCGUGGCAGCUAUGUUUGACACCUCUUGUUCAGUUCAGCUUGGGGAUGGCAUGAGCGCGAGAUUCUAGCAUGAUCGGUGGCUCAGCAUUGGGUCGUUGUGCUCCUUCGUCCCGCUCCUCUACAACGGCAUCUCGAGAGCUGAGUGCGGGCGGUCGAUUCAGGAUGCUCUGAACAACCGACAAUGGGUUAGGGAUAUUGUUGGGCCUACGACAAUCCAGGUGAUGUGUCAGUACAUCAAGACAUGGUUGUUGGUUUGGGGGACCGCCUUGGAUCCCUUGCGGUCAGAUUGUUUCAUUUGGAAAUGGUCGCUAGAUGGAAACUACUCCGUGUCUUCCACCUACCGAGCCUUCUUCGUGGGCUCGACCAAGCUGCUGGGUGCCAAGGAGCUCUUGCACACGAGAGCUCCACUGAAAGUGAAGCUAUUUUUCUAGUUUGCUUUGCACAAUAGGUUAUGGACUGUGGAUAGGCAUAAGCGACAUGGUCUGCAUGACGAUGAUGGUUGUGCCUUAUGUUGUCAAGAAUCUGAGACGGGGACUCACCUCUUCUCAAGCUAUGUGGUGACCAAAGAACUUUGGUUGCAUGCCUUGCAUGUCUUGCAAGGCAUCGACCUCCACCACAUCUUAGUGGAUUUGGGUGUUAGUAAGCCGGUGGAGUGGCAGCUACGGCAUAUGUUACAGUUUCGGGAGCAACAGCGGGGGGGGGGGGGGGGGGAGUUCGAUUCUGUGGUCCUCCUAGUCUGUUGGGAGAUGUGGAAGGAAAGGAACACGCGGACCUUCAGAAAUGAGAACUCUACUCAGAUGGCCGUGGCAAAGCGUAUCCAUGAUGAAGGUGCGCAGUGGAUCGACGAGGGUUUUUCUACACUAGCCUCCUUUUGGACGUCUGUUGGUGAUGUCGGCUUGGUCGCACAAUCGAUGGCCGUAUAGUAGUUUUUUUCCUCGUCUUGAGUUGUUAGCCUCGCUAAUGUUUCGCCUGCUACUCGCAAACGAUCUAGUAGUAGGUCUAACAAUCGGUUAUAAAAGUAAACUCCUUUCAUCCUAAUAAAAUACGGGCUCAACUCCCGUUCACGAAAAAAAGGCCUGGUUGGACGACAUGGUGGCAACCGGCGCCUGUUAUCAUCCGAGAACGAUAGGAGGCGAUUGGCCUGCGGGGAAUGUAACUGGGGCUCCAACGCUUAUUGCUUGCUAGCUGUCCGAAGUCCAACCAAACACACGAAGAAGCAGAUCGAGGCAGAGAGAAGGAAGAUGAGUGUAUAUAUGGUAAUGGUGCUCGCUCACCUGUGAUGCGAUGCGAUCCACCUUCGCCGGAGAAGAUGGCCAGCCAGCAGUCGUCGGAGAUCUACUGGCUUGGCAGUAGUAGUUAGGUGGGGAGAGCCGGAGAGGGAAAAUGGUAGGUGCUUCUUGGAGCACGUACGCAGGCAGGCCGGGGAGACGCGCGUACUCAGGGAUACUAUACUGCCGAGAGCGAAACUGAGCUUCUCCUGUGCUUGACGGCAGACGAUUCGCUUAUUUGUGUCCGGUUGAGAGCAGUGAUUGAUUCUUCUGAAACGGUUGAGAGCUGCUGACCGGGGCCGUGUGGCAUCCAAUUCCAAGCUAGAUUGUAGUAGAUGCGUGGCCUCGUUAUUACUCAAUCAUCAAACGGCCUGUAGUCCAUAUAGUCUCGAUGUGGUAUAGUAGUACGACGACAGCAUCCACCGGAGUUUGCUCAGCUUCCUUUUCCGGAAACUCGUAAUAGCUUCUGGGGCCCUGUGCCUAUUGCCGGCCAUUGGUGUCAUGGCUGUCCAUAUAUAGGAGUAAAUUAUACGGUGGUCGAUCAUUAUAUAUCUCAUAGAAAGUGACAUUCUCACUUCAUGAGAAGACAAACAUUUUUGACACUAACUCAAUAAAUAUGAAAUAUAUUAAUAAUGUUAGUACAUAAUUAGAUAGAUGGUUUUCAAUAUAUUUUAUAAUAAAUUAUAUUUGAAGAUACAAAUAUUGCUAAUAUUUUUUCUAUAGAUCCCAUCUAACUUAAGAAAGUUUGAGCAGCAUAAAUCUUAUAGCGGCUAUUUUUAUAGGAGUGAGGGAGGGAGCAUGUGGCUAGCUUGUUUGGUACGGGUCUAAUCUUUGGAGCAUGUGCGUAGUACUUCGUGUGUUGUAACGAUCACAUCAACUCUGGCCAAGAAAAAACUCGUUGGUGCAUUCCGGUACUUCUUUUUGUAUGUGUGUGUGUGUGUGUGCGCGCCUGUUCAUGGCGAUAUGAUUGAUUGCUUCAACAAUUCGUCGAAGUACGCUGACAACAUUAUGGCUUUGCACCCUUUACAUAUAUGCAUGUCUUCUUUGUAGUAUAUCCUAUAAGCUAGCCGGCCGGCCGGUCCAUAUCUCGGAGGCGCUAGCUGGUGUUCUAUGCUAGGUAUGAUUAUGAAUCCCCAGUAGGAGCUGAGUAAACAAUUCGGGCCGCUGAUGAAAAUGAAAUGGCAGAGUGAUGCUAACUGGUAGCCACGACGAGGUCGCGAGCUGCAAGCCCUAGCUGGUGGCGUGCUGGCAGUAUGUGCAUGGUUGCUUUGACGACUCCCAAUAAUGGAUGUCUCGUUUGAUUGGGCGCGAAUGGCUUGCAAGAUAUUAGCCUAGCUAUGCGGCAGCGGUGGGGCGGCAGAGUGUCGGCUCUCCGUUCUCGGAAUGCUUGGCGUCGUCGUCGGCAAGAUGGAGAAGGUUUGGUUACCAAGGCAUCCAGACCAGACUGAGACUGCGUCCGGAGCUACGACCUCGCCUCUGUAAUCAAUAAUCAGGCAAGAUCGAGGACGUUUUCUUCAUGCCAAUGGGCCAGCUACAUCCUGGUGGACCUUAUCGUGCUGCGAUCUGAAGCUAUGUAUACACGGCGACCCCGGCCCAUGGCCAAAACGAAGUGCAUCAACCAACGACAAUGAAAGUUUUGCUCUUCGAGGAGUACCGUACCCCUACUGCAACCAAUUAUCAAAGGAAAAAAGUUAUUUACAGAGCUGAGGGUAAGAAACAAAGAAGCAAAAGGAGAAAAAAAAAACUUAUUAGUUACACAAGAGGCGAGAGGAAAUCCAGACUAGAUUCUACAGCCAUUCCUGAAUCUCGGGAAAAGUACUUCGUGCGCAAGAGUAAAUGUAGUUGGGAUCUAGGUGGCCUAACUCUUGAAAAGCAUCCUUGAAUGGCAAAGCUGACUCUAACAUGUGACUAUUGCCACAAUUACGUGUUGCAGAGAAUACCUCAUUGCAGUGCUUGCAUCGAGCUUGUAUAACCUUUCCUUGAUGAUAAAUUGGCUCCAUAUCAAUCCAAAUCUCAGAUCUUAACUUGCGUGGUUUACUAUGUGCCAAAGUGGAAUCUGUAUCAUUAAUGUAAAAAAAAUUCCGAUUAGCUUAGUUACAUGUAAGUAAGAAAUUAUGUGCUGAAAUAAUAACACAACUUAUUGCUAAACAAAUACAUAAGAACAGAAAGCAAUGACAAUUACCCGAAUCAUGUGCGUUUGACUGUGGUGGUGAUGCAACAGGGGGUGAGGAUGAUAAUACUGGAGGGCUCCUUGGACUAUGUGAAGACCUCUGCCCAAUCACCAUAGGAGACACCAUUAACAUAAUUAUUGGAGACCUUGUAACCAUGGGAGACCUUGUCACCAUUGGAGGCUUAAAUCUCUUUGCAGCUUGUUUUUGUUGAUUUUUUUCCGAAGGCCUCCUCUUCAAUGGAGAUGUUGAAGGAGAGUUCUGUUGUUUUGCCGAUGUAGAUGUCUUUGACCUUUUAUGCUUUGUGCUUGAAGAGCUAACCAAUGCUGAUUUCUUUGAAGAACCUCCACCUUCUGGUUCAGACUGUGAUAUGAUUGUCAUUGUUGCCAUGGUAACAGGGCUGAAGUAUAAAAAGAGAUAAUAUGAAUCAUCUAAGAAUCAAAAAUCCAUCUACAACCUAAAUGGAGAGGUGGCCGGAGAGGCAACACUAAUCUUACCGUGGGGGCAGGACGUGGAGGAGUGACGACGACCUGAUAGUGUGCGAGCCUAGUGGAUCAGGGCUUUGCUGCUCUCCUGCUACAGAAUGAGGUUAGGGAAGGAUAGGAGCCUUUGACUUUUUUGCUACAGUGGAGUAUGUUUGUUGAUCCUUGGAUGAAGGCCUUUUACGCUUUGUGAUGGAAGAGCUAAUCAAUGUUGAUUUCUUUGAAGAAGCCCCAACUUCUUGUUCAGGCUGUAACAUGGCUGUCAUUUUAACAGAGCUAAAGUAUAAAAUGAGAUAAUAUCAGUCAUUGAAUUGAGUUAAAAAAAUAGAAAAAAACAUCACAACAUAGAAGGAAAAAAACAUCACUGCAAUAUAUGUGAGCAAGUAUCUGGGCAUAAUGCAAUGUGAAAAAAUGAUACUAAAACAUAUAUAUGCUUGAUGGCGAGCAGCCUACCGUCGCGGGACAGCGCGAUGCGGACGAUAUACUAAAACAUUUAUACGCCAACAAGGUCCUCUUUGUCUGUAUUCACGCACCUCACGAUCACAGCGACUCAGGCCAUCCAAAGCGGUUUCGACUCUUGUCAAGAGGAAGCAUUGCAACUCAGAAGAUAUACGAAGCAUGAGAUUAAACUUAACGCUUCACAAAUCCCAAUCAGAUAAAAACUGUCAUCAGAGUUAACAGGAAGCAGUACUGCAGUAGUUGAACCUCUGAAUAAUAAGCAACUGACGGUUCCAGACAAACCUUCGAAUACCAACAAGCUAUGAGACCUCUGAUUUCUUAGCAAUCGACAAAAAUUCAGACAUUAGUACCAACGAGUUGCCUGGCUCAGAAAUGUACAUGUUCUCAACCAAAAUUGUGAGCCAGAACUCCCGAAGCAGUAUAGCUAUCCUUUUUCUGUUUUUUUCUUUUACGUGGGUGCUAUGAAUAAAGGCUAUAUCCGGUAAAUUUACCAACCCCGUUAGAACAGACACAAACAACAGUAUGUGAAUCAUCUAUCCCCAUCCAAGUUGGGAUUGGGGAGAAACCGAGACGCAGAUGAACUAGCUUAUUUAUCAAGGCUAAGUUGGCCGGCGAUGAGUGGUGCGCUGGCACUCGGCUUUCCUCCCCCCUUCUUUUUUCUUCCCGAUAGCACAAGCAACAGAAGCGUCAGAGCGUCAGAGGAGGCAGGAGACAGCUCACCUGUCGUUGAAGCUGGUCUUCACCCUCUCCUUCUCUGUCUCCUGCUGCGCCUCCUCCUCCUCCUCACCCCGCACAUCAGCCAGCUCCCUAGAGGGCGUAGCCGCGGACAUCCUCUGUGUGCUCGGCGGCCCGCGCGCCGUGGCGCGGGUGCCGACGGUGGAGGCCUCGCGGCUCCACGCCUCGCGUCCAUCUGGAGGUAGGGCGGCGUCCAGGGUGACUAGUGACACCAACAAAAACAAGAAGAUUCAGAUUAGAAGAACAAGGGAGAAGAAGAACAGUAGAUGAGUGAUUCUCACCGACAGCAGAUGAGUGAUUCUCACCGGCUUCCCUAGCGCCGCCGCUGCGGAUAUGGCGCUCGAGUAGGAGUCCGCUCAUGUGGCCGAUGCGGCGCCGGUGUGCUUCCCACGCACAAGCCUUGCAGGCUAACGCAGGCGCCUGCUUUAGUUUCUUGGGCUUCGCAGGCUUGACUGUUUAGGCCCGCAUCACUUGAAGCAGGAGGCUGCAAUGUCUACAAGGCCUAUUUUUGCAGGCGAACCGAGCAGGCUGGCAGGUCGGCCCGCACCUGCUUGCAUCUUUACGAUGGGCCCUAAGAGUAUGGUUUGGCCAUGGGCUUGCCGACAGUGGGGCUGUGUGACCAUUGGCAUCCCCUUCAUAGGUUCCAUUGACCCUAUGCCCAAAUCUAGUGGAGCUAUUUCUCUGGCCAUAGUGUUCUUCUACGUCCGCAUAUGCAGUGCACGUAGUUUGGCUGUAGGCUGUUGUCGACGAGGCUGCGUGACCACCGGCGCCCUCCCCUAUGCUGCUCUUUUUGGCCAACCGUGGCUGAUCAGGGCCUAUUCUGCCUCUUGGCGGGGAGGAAAGAGCGUCAUCUAGAUCUAGGUAGAGCGAUGGUAUUGCCCAUGCCUAUGUCUACGGUGGCUGUGACAGUAUGGUGGUGGCAUUGGGGUGUCAGCUCUGGAGCAGAAGCAUUGGCGGGGCUUUCGGGAGAAAGCUGCUCAGUUCUUGGCUAGGCUAGCAAUGAGAGAUUUCCUUCUUGAAGGUGCAGCUGAAGAAACUAUAGCUGCUUUCUUGUUCAGCCCAACCAAUGCAUUUCUCCUUUCCAUAAGACUCAGGCAAAAGCCUCGCCAAGCUCUUGCUUGGCUAAUGAUGAUUAUAUUAUGAUGACAUUCACCUUCAUGGAGGCAUCAUCGAAGAAACUCUUGUUUCAUGGCAUCUUUCAAUGUCUUUCCCUUCCUAGAGGUGUUACUCUAGAGUCCAAUCGGACCUCCCUGCAUGCGCUAAGGACCCAACCCUCUUCCUCUAUGAUGAUUCUGCACAAGUUCUAACCAGCAAACUACCGAAUCAUGACCAUCGAUUGGUUGCAGGCGGGAAGUGUGAAGCUGAAAGCCCUUGAAUUAAUCAAUCAACCAAGCCAAUCCCCCCUCGCUUCUGGUGUGCCCAGUGCCACAACUCGAGCAAAAACCGAUGACUAUGAUUGGUGGUCGUCACUACUAGAAUCUGGCUCUUUGCCGAGUGUCUAGUGGUUUGCCGAGUGUUUUUUCGUGCACUCGACAAAAAAGCUCUUUGCCAAGUGCCAAAAGAACACUCGGCAAAAAAAACACUCGGCAAAGAGGGUUCUUUGCCGAGUGUCAAAAAAACACUCGGUAAAGAAAAUUUUAAAUCAAAAUUUGAAGCCCUAAAUAAAUUCAAAUCAAAAAGUUUUGAACUACAAAGUUGUAUAACUUCUCAAGAUCUACAAUCUUUAUUUUGGCAAUUUCUUCAUUUGACAAAGUGAAAAUGUUAGAAUUACCGUGUCAGAUGAACAAAUGACCAAACAACAAAAAUAAACUUUGUAGAUCUUGACAAGUUAUGAAAUUUUAUAGUUGACAAAUUUUUCAUUUGAGUUUAUCUUAUCAUUCAAAACUACGUCUGUGUUUAAACAUUUUUAAGUUUGAUUUUUUGAAAUGACCUCAGAUGGGAAAACUUCCUAAAUAAACUUUGUAACUCUCAAAAAGGUAUGAAACUUUUUAGUUGACAACUUUUUUAUUUGGAAAUCAACUUGUCAUGCAAAACUAUAUCUUUAUUUGAAAAUUUAUAAUUUUGAUUUUCUGAAAUUACCUCAGAUGAAAAAACUCCCUAAAUAAACUUUAUAGGUCUCAAAAAGUUAUGAAAUUUUGUAGUUGAUAACUUUUUGAUUUGAAAUCAUCUUGUCAUGCAAAAAUUAUGUUUAAAUUUCUCAAAUUUGAAAUUCAAAUUUUGUAAACAACCUCGGAUGGAGAAACUCCUUAAAUAAAAAUUAUAGAUCUUAAAAAGUUAUGAAACUUUAUAGUUGACAACAUUUUGAUUUGAAAUCGUUUAAAGGAUCAAGUAAUCAAUUUACAUGUGAUUUGGUAUAAUAUAUAAGGAACCGAAAUGCAAUAUAGACACAAGUGAUGGUGUGGUGCAAUGGUUAAGGAGCGAGGUGCGUGAGAGAAAUCUCAUGUUUGAAUUCCACCUAUGGUGUAGUUGUGAAUUUUGUGCGAAAAAGUGCCCGAUAACCGGCAAAGUUUUUGUGUCCCGUAGCGUGUGCUUCAUGGUCUAUGCAUGCACACCACACACUAGUAGUCCUUUUUCUGACCUUCUUGAUCUGUCUCGGACUCGCAGACAUCACAUGGCUGAUGGACCAUGCAUGAUUAGAAUAUUAACAACCAACACACUACUACAUAAAUAUUUUUCUGAGAUGGGCAAAAACAGUUUUUCGAGGCGGGCAAGAUAAACGCCUCCAACAGAAGGUCACAGUUAAUCAAGUAUUAAUGGAGGCGUUUGUUUGCCCGCCACGGUAAAUAAUUCAGAAAAAAUAAAAAAAUGAAAAGACUGUCGACGAGCCCGCUGAGCCCAUCGAUGGGCCUGCUAAGCCCAAUCCACCGUUGUUGCUGCCCCACGACCGGCGUGCCGCCGCUGCCGCCGUCGACCUCGCUGUCCUCGCUGCCUGUUGCGGAGAAGGGCACCCUGCGUGCGCGCUGCCCGCUGCGGAGGAGGGGAGGUGGGCGCCGCCGGGAGAGGGGUUGGGUGCCACUGCCAGAUGUAGAGGGGGUGGGGCACGACUAGGAGAGGAGUGGAUCCGUGUUGUCCUCGCCAUGGAUCCGCGCUGUCCUCGCCGGAUCCGGCCUCUCAUGCCGGAGGAUGGGGGCACCGUCGUGGAUAUCCCAGGCGCGGGAAAGGGAGGGAAGGGGGCACGCACGUCGACGAAGGGAUACACAUGUCGGAGAGGGGGGGAGGAGGCGCGCGUCGUGGAGAUCCCAGGCGCGGGGAGGAGCGUCGUCGUCCAAGAUUAGAGGGCUCGCAUGUCAGGGAGGGAAGAGGGCGCGCGUGGGGGCUGCAAGUGGAGGGAAAGAGUCGGGGAGGGAAGGGGGCGCGCAUGGGGGCUGCGAGUGGAGGGGAAGAGUCGGGGAGGGAAGGGGGCGCGCAUGGGGGCUGCGAGUGGAGGGAGGAGAGGAGCAGGUAGGGGUUUUUAUUUGUUUAUAUAUUGGAAUGAUUGUGGGCUAUUGGGCUGGACCUAAUUUAUCGAGGCGGUUGCAUUACAAUGAACCGCCUCGGUAAAUGAUUUACUAGGACGGUUGCGUUAGAUUGACCGCCUCGGUUAAUCUAUAUUUACCGAGGCGGGUAUUUUAAUUUGCUCGUCUCAGUAAAUCGAUUAACCGAGGCGGUUACUGAUAACCGUCUCGGUUAAUAAAAAAAAUGUCCACCACGGUUAAUUCGAGACAUUUACCGCGGCGGUUGGAAAUCUUGCCUGUCUCCGAGGCCUUUUGCAAAACGCCUCGUAAAAGAUUUUUUGUAGUAGUGACAAAUUGAUCGGCAUAAAUUUCUAACAUAUCAUCGUUCCUUAUUUCUACUUAUACCACCUCUAAAUCGGUCGGUAUAUAUAUAGCAAUUCCCUCGGACGAUCGGUCAGUAAAAGCACAUAAUAAAGUCAAAUGAUCCGUCGGUGACUCGGUGUAGCUUGUUUCCGUUUUGGCGCACUCGGUCCGGCCUUAAUUCUCUUUUGCAAAAAUCUUAGCUCAUUCUUUUUCAGCCACUACUAUAAAACUCACACUCAGUGCUGACUCAUCAUCACCGAUUGCUCUGAAAGCAGCAGUGGUAAUCCGUCACUGCUGGUUCUUAACUUGAAAAUAUAAUUAAAAAUGAUUGGGAUCCUUAUAAAAACCGGUUGUGAAUGUGCUUUAGUAAUACAUUAGCUGACCAUACCCCCUACCAAAGCUUAGACAUACAUGGAUCAUAACGAUGGAGGUUAUUCUUUGCCAAAGCUUACACAUGCAUGCAUUUUUUAAACAAAAUUCUUUGGCACUUACUCAUCAAAUGUUAUUCUAACAUGCAAUUCAUCUUUAGCAAAGCUUACACAUACAUGGAUCAUCACAGUACGUGGAGACAGUAAACAAUUUGUAUCUAAAUUAUAAGUGAAUCUUAAGAGUCUUUAUUACAUAAAAAUAUUAUUACUUUCUCUCAAAAAAAUAAAAAUAUUAUUACAGGAAGGACACCAAACAGACUAGUUACAAUUGAUACACAAGACAAGAGUACCAUGAUAUACACAGAUCAUAUCAGCAGCAGUUGACAAAUCAUUCAGAAAAGUGACAACUCAAAUGCACUUAGCUGCAGAAACACGUCCACCAGCACAGCACUAUCUGAAGAAUCAAAAGCAAGAAGAAAACUGAAGAAUUAAAGCAUUGUUGAGUAAUAAUAGGAGAAGACUCCAUUAAACCACACCAGCAGCAGAAGUAGCAGCAGCAGCGCCGUCGUCCUCUCCUGGCCUGCUGACGAUCCCGGCAUGGAAGAGCAGCACCCAGAGCAGCGUUAUCAGCUCGCCGCCCCUGGCGAUAGCCUCCUUGUGCCCUUUGAGAUUGUCUGACGGCGCGACAUACAGGAUCAUCUCUGACCAGAAUUCAGCCAACAACUUCCAUGCUGUAUCAUCACCACCUUCUAGAACCAGCUCCCCCAACUGCUCUCCCAGCUUCGCGCCAUCCUUGACUACUUCAUGCUUCGCUUCUGUACUCAGCAAUUCGACCAGCUGUUGGCAUUUGGCUUCCGACGUCAAUGAGUCUCCUGCCGUGCAGCCAGCAAGGACACGCCGAGUGUCCUUCUUGACAUUCUCGUACAGGCUCCUGCUCCAUUCGUGGUCAUCAGGAAGCAGCUCAGGGCACCAUGUCACGAGGUAAGCACAGUACCGUGAUAGGUGGGUGGCAACCAUUUUGUAGGCAGUGUUGGAAAGUGGUGGAGAACCUUGUCCUUCAUCAUUCAGGUGUGGGUACCUGACCUCUAGAAUGCUUGUGGCGAUGUGCCAUGUAAGUAUGGUAUAAGAUGUACUCCUAUUGCUGCAAGCCCAGUUGAAGCUUUCACCAACCUGGCCUCGGCGGCGGCGGAGACAUGCUGCUCCAUUGCUCAGCUGUCCUCCAUCAUCUCUAGUUCUUCUUAGCGCUUGGAUGAUGCAAAGCUUCACCGCUGCUGGCACCCUGACCUUCCUCUUCUUGUCUGGUAAUAAAGGGAAAAGGUGCCAGAGAAUACCAAGCAGGCUUGCUCUUGGCUGAAGCACCAAUACUGAGCACUGGCCAAUUUUCUCAUCCCAAUGCGUCCUCAAUAACUUGCAUCUGCAGCGGAGCAAAAGGCCAGCACAUUUCUGGAUGCAAAGAGAAUUCUUCGAGGAGGAGGAGGAGGAGGAGGAGGCACGGUUUAGGAGGUGACACACGAGGGCUACUUUGGUCCAGUUGGAGCAGAUGAAGGAAGCCAUAUCCUUCACCUCAGCAACGAAAACUAACACCAAAAGCCAAUAUAGUGGCACCCGACUAAAGAGCCGGCUUCCGUAACUUCUUCGAUCCAGUUUUGUUUGCAAUAGGUUUUCAGUGCAACUGAUGUCACACAAAAGUUGAAAGGCAUGGUAUUCUUCAACUAAAGCCGAGCUGAACAUCACCGCAACAAAGAUGCAAUAAGCUACGGUCAAGAGUGAGAUAAAGAUACCUACGAUGGGCAACCAGCACUUGGAAUAGGAGAUCGGGAUGGAUGUGUAAUAAUAAUCAUGAACAAAAGAAAUCUCAUCCGAGAUCACCUGAAAUACCCUGUUCUGGCCUCCAUCCUUGAGCAGCAAGCUCCAGAAAAAAGUGAACAUGUCACUGGAGGCAUUAGCAGUGUUGAUAUUGUACCUUGCAAACCGGCACCGCAACAACUUGAAGAAUGCGAAGGACAAGCAUGUGUCUUUUAUUCGUUGCAGUGUUGAGAAUGGUAGGAAGGCUGUCAUCUUCCAGACACUGUCAAUGGUUACCAGGCCAUCUUUUCCGUGCCCUGAGUCACCCUUCCAUACAUACCCAUGGGACUGCUUCUCCAUGUGUCUUUUCCCCUCUCCCAUAACCAGUAGUGGAGGUGGAGGAGGAGCAUCAUCAUCAGUUACUACUGCUGCUUCUCUACGAUGACUUGUUCCUGCUUGUACAGGUGGUGGUUGCUGCAUGUAGGCAAAAAUAAGAUGAGGAUUGUUUCCGAGAGCGAAAGAUCGCCGUGCCUUUUCAAAUGCAUAAUAUUUGAAGAAAAUUUUGGCACAUGUGAGAGCAAAAGGUAUCCCUUCAAUUCCAGUCGUAAACCGAACAAAUUUGAGGUCUCCUCCACCAAUGGCAUCACUGAUCACGUAGGAGGUACCAAGGUAAAAGGUCCAGAUCCCCUGAACAAGCAACUGGAAUGGAGGACCGAUGUUUCUACCUUCUCUGUCAUCAACAGCGACAAUUGCACUGGUAUUGAUCAUAAUUAUCUGAACAAGUGAUGCCCAUAUUACCACCAAGGUAGAUUGUACUCCUGGAUCGCACUUUGCGGCCAACUGGCUACGCAUGCCACUCUGCCCCACUGUGACAUAGUCGUUUGACCCAGCGACCAGGGGCACAACAGUGGACAUGACAGGCAAGAACAAGGCGGUGGCUCCAAGAAAGAUGAUCCUGGUGAGGCGGUGGUAGCGGUAACGCUGGCCAAAGACGCCUAUCCCAACUAUGACUCCGCCAAGGAUGGCGCCAGCGAGCAACAGAGCGUUCACAAGCCACAACCUGAGUCUCAUGCUCUUGUCAAACAAGGACAGGGCAUCGUAGGAGCAAUGGUCUCCAGUUGAAUUCCCUCCAGCCAUGAUGGGCCUGCUCAUUGCCAAAAUAUCAAGGUUAUAUAUAAACAAGGAGUGUUGGUUGUAUCAUGCUGAAAUGGAUAUCAUAUGGAUCGGAGGCACAUACAUUAUUAUAUAAAUUAAAUAUUAAACAAGCACGUGUGCAUAUGUGAACAGUAAACCCAACAGUACUCAACAUAUACAAAUAUAUAUGGCAUGACACACUGUAUGUCUUCCAAAUUGUUUUUUUUUAAAGGAGAAGAACAUACUAAGCUCAUGUAGUUUCUACUUUAUCAAUUCUAUAUGAUGUGUUUGAUAGUAUUAGUUUACCGUAAGGUGGAGGUUGAUCUAGAUGACUGACGGCUGUGCAAUCCGGCUGCCUUGAAGUCUGCCCACUCGCACUCCAAAUAACGUGUUUCUCUUUGGAACUGGAUGAUCAAAUAGUGCUCUCAAUCAACGCAGUGUCUUCCUUAUUCUUUUGUCUAGUACGUACGUUGGCUCUUGCUUUAUCUGUUCCUCUGCAUGCUUUUAUAUGUAAAUAAAUGUGCUGGCUUUGGGCAGUCUUUCCCUUUGGAUCCACAUGACAUGACCAUACUGAACACGACUAGAAUAUGUCCCUUCUUGCUUCCCUGGCUGCUCACCGUCCUGCCACAUGCCCUCUAAAGUUUGUUGAUGCUGUCGCUAUGCCGACCAAACGAAUAGCUGUUUUCGUUCUACAUAUUCCUUAGAUAAUAAUUGGAAACUGGAAUUGACAGUGGGCUGAAACAGAUUAUAGCUAGAAAAACUUCGUCCAUGUUCUAGUAUGCAAAAAAAAAAGAGAUGGGGAAAUUGGUUUUGUAACACUGAAAGAUCAGUGAAAUUGUAAAAUGGCACUGAAAGAACCCGCCAACAUAAAGUACAACUGAAAGAUCAUAGCACCAACUAGAAGUACACCAUUCUAUUACAUUCUCCAUCAAGCUCCGUUAACAUGGACCAAAAUACCCAUCAAAAACCUACCAAACAAAGAUUUUAGAAUACAACACGACACAUAGCCAAUGACUAUAGCUUUCAGCUGAGGCUUAGAGCUUUCAGCUUGUAGACGUACUAGCUUUCAGCUGCUUAGAGGCUUAUGUCGUGUGUCGGCUAUUCUAGUUCCGCCACUGCAUCUUUGUUCUUCUAUUGCAGUUCUAGUUCCAUCAUUGUUCUACUACCAGUCUACAUCUCAACGGUCGUCUCGUUCUCCUCCGCCAGGCUCUCUGCAGCACAUUCUCCUUGUCCAUUAUGGAAGCAUUUAGCUUCGUGACAUUCGUGUUUGACUUCAUCAACUUUGCCUCCACCUCUAGCGAGAUUGUAUAACGGUAGGAAAAUAUUUUUGGCACCUACCGAUAAGAAAUUUUGGACUAAAUUUAAAUAAAUUCAAAUUGAUUUUUUUUAAAAAAAUGGUGUCAUUUUACUAUAAAAACUUCCUAAUCUAUCAAUCAUCAUAAAUUUAUAUAAUAUCAACGAAAUAACAUAACAUAUAUGAUUGUGGUAGUACAACGGGCUGACGGUGGGCGAGUUGUAUAUGCUAGUGCCAUGGAAUAUGUGAGAGAAAAUUAAAUAACUUUGAAAAAAAAUAAGGCUUUGAUAAGACUAGGAGAUAUGAUGGAUCAUUUUAUUGUGGUCUGGAGUAAUUUUGAAGAGAAACAUGAAUUUAAUCGAAAAAUUUGACUGAUAUAAAAAAAUUUCAAACCUCAGCGAAAAUUGAGAAAUUUCAGAAAUUUUGUCGAAAAAGAAAACCCUAAAAUCUAACCUGCAAAUGUCAUAUAUGUUGCACGUUGUCCAUUGUAUAGAUUCCUGCCAUUGCUUCCAUGACUUGUCCUUCAGCUCUAGGUCAAACUCACACACUUUGCGGGUGUAGUCGCCCUUCCCACUUUCUAGUGUCUCCUACACGUGGGUGUAGAAGGGGUGGCUCCUGGUGUCGCAAAUGUGUGGAUGGAGUGGGUGGUGUUGUGGCCAAUGGGAGGUGGAGCAGAGGCAUGGCAGUAGGGAAGGCAAUGUGUUCAGCAUGAAAGAGAGCAUCAGGUGGGGUAGACACUGUGGCUUGGGAGAGAGCGAGGUGGCAUGGUCGCCGGUGAGAGAGGGGCAUAUGCCAUUGAUGGGGUAGGCGGCACGGAUGGGUAAGGGGCAGGUGUUGGCUGUUGGCGAGAGAUGGGGCGCCAGCUGCCAGUGAGGUAGGCGAUAUGGUGAUGGGGUGGCAGCAUGGCCACAAAUGGGAGGGGUGUCAGAUACUUGCAUGAAAGCCGGAGGCAACAAUUGAUAGCGCAAGCGGGUGCGUGGCGUAGUGGUGAGUUUGAGGAUAAGGUGAACCUAAGGGUAUAAAGAUCAUUCAAGCUUGGUUAUGUUCUGUCCAAGGAAGAAAAAAACUUUUAUAGUGAAAAAUAAUAUAUAUGGAAUGUUAUAUUUAGUUAAUGCUUCUUUCGAUUAGUGUUAUAGCCCUAAUUUUUCCAUCAAGUUUGGGCACAUAUUCGGUACUUUUUUUGGGAAAGCAUAUCAUCCUUACUUAUUAGGCUACGUUUAGUAUUAGAAUGUGUUCAUAGUCAAAAUUGAAAGCCCUGCAUGGACCGCACGCACCGGAUGAUUUGGUAUGGGCUGCCAAGGUCGAGUCUGAGAUGGAUUUCACUCUCUUUGUUAGAUUUGUCAGUUUUAAGGUUGGUUUGUGAUGUACUCAAACUCUCUAACGACUCUACUGAGGGUUCAUUGUUAUGUGAUCUGUGCAUUCUGGCACUGUGGUCAACAACAUUGUAUGCACGAUUCUAUUGAAAUCAAAUGGUUUGGUGUGCACAGGCCCGCCAAGGGUUCUCUUUUUAGUCACUCCACUUGAAAAUAAAUUAAAGAGAUCUCCUUCAAGGGCCAAGCAGAAAGGCGACUUGACUGAUCUAACAAACCAUAAGAGCAUUGUUACACCUUCAACCACCUUAACAACUUUCUAAGGAAAUCUGCAAAAUGCUGGAGGACAUUUUGAGACCACCAUAUCAUUGUUGAUGGGUACUCCCUCCGUCCCUCAAUAGAGGACCUUUUGCGAUUCAAAAAAUGUACUAGAAAGGACAUUUUAGCUUCUAUAGGUGUGGGUCUCACUCUAUUGUUUGUACAACACCGAUCCAUCCUUCACCACCCUAGCUCCCUAUCGUCCACUAUCACACAAAGAAAAAAUAAAUAAAAACAUACAGUGGGAGGAGGCUUAUCCUUUCCUUUCAACCUUCUCAUGGAGCUCGUGGCUCUACCCAUCUCAGACCGGUAGUUAGUGAGUUCCCCUUCCUGCCUCCACGACACCUCCAUCUCCCUUUGCCUCCUUCUCCACUACACCUCCCACCUCCCCUCCAAUGGCCUCCUCCUCCACCGCACCUACCCCUCCCAUCGCAGCGGUGCACCUAGGAAUGACAUGCUUGCGGCACGCAUGUUGGCCUCUUCCUUCACCCGCAGCAGCCCCUUCUGCCACCACCACCAGCAGUGGAGGCGGCCCCUUCUGCCACCACCACCAGCAGCGGAGGCGGCCCCUUCCCCCACCACCAGUAGUGGCUGCGGUAGCCACAUUCCCGCCGGUGGCCAUGGCACCUUCCAUAGCACGUGGUCCCCCCGCGCCGAGACCUUCCCCAAUGGCGGCACCUUCCACUCAGGCGGAUUGCGAGCACAACGAUCGCGCAGCCAUGUGGUCUCUGACGUAGGCAUGACCAGAUGUGUAGGCAUGAUGGGCCCUGGCUGCGGCAUGGCCCAACCCGCAGGCAUGGCGUCCCUAUAGCAUCGCAGACCCACUCCUGCACACCAACGGGGAAGAGGCCUACUUGCCCACUCCAGCUCCCCGGCAUUGUCCAUGCAGAGGAAUAGAGAGAUAAUAUGCAGAGGAAGUAGUGGAGUAGGGGCAUACAUAUCUUUUGCCAACAUUCUAGUAUCGGUGUCUGGUCCUACAACGUCUUGUAUUGUGGGAUGGAGAGAUUAUACUCUUAUACGCUUAUUUGUACAUAUCAUACUAAAAUAUAUAGUACUCCGUAGAACUUUAUACAGAUCUCAAUAACAUGAAAAGAGUAACUUAAUAAUUAGUGGAAAUUAACACAAACAAAUAGAUGCGUCGAUGUAAAACAACAAAAGAAAACUUAGGAAAAAUUUAAAGCCCUAAAGUGAAAUCGGGCCAGUAUCGUAAUAUGUCAUAUGCGGCUAAGGUCUCGAGCACAUUCUGUGUGGCAUGCUUAAUCGUCCAUGACUCUAUGUAUGCAUGCUUUGCUCGGAACGAUCCAGAUAUCCAUAUAACUAAAUAUGGCAAUGGGUACCCGAGACCUAAAACCCGAUGAGUUUUUACCCCAUUACAGCAUGAGCUUGGGUUAAUUUCUCUACCCAACGGGCAAAAAGCCAGACCUAGUGGAUUUGUGGACAUGUGUCUGAGCGAGCAGUAUCCAAACCUGGAAACCUAUGGGUUUUUUAAACCCGUUCCAUCAUAGAAUAAAUCCUUUAAUUUUUAGAUUUUGUAUUACCAAAUAAUUUUAUAUCUAAAUAUAUAUAGAAUUUGAGAAAUAUUCAACAAUGUAGAGAAAUCAAUUAAUAGAAAGGACAAGCCGACUCUCAUCUUGGAGGCCGAACUGGUCUAAGCAUCCGAUCCUAUUAUGGGCCGGCUUGGCUCUUGGGCCUAAUUGUUUGCUCUUAAGGCCCUACUGCUAGUGCUUCACUAGUAGCAAGCACAUUAGUCCCACCUCGCUGGGUCAGCGUAGCUGCAGCUGUGCAUACUCUAUAAAACCAAGGCAAAACACUUGUGCUACACAGUGAUGAAGCCGCGGUUUAUCGAGCACGCGCAAUCCGCGGGUACCAGUUACCCACUUAAACAAGGGUAUGAGCGUCUAGCAAAUAUGCCCUUGCAACGGGAGAAAAACAUCAAAUGACCAUAAUAAGUGUGAUGAUAUAAUGUUACAUAUCUAUUUAUAUUUAUUUUUUUAUAAAAUUUAAAGUCCAUAAUUUAUUUUAUUGAUAACCAUGACAUCUAUGAUAUUAGAUAGUUAAUAUUUACAAUAAUAUAUAGCUUGGAGACAUAUUUAUUUAAUAUUAAAAAUAUAAAUUUUGUAAACCUAAUCUUACUCUAAUAUUAUUUCUUAAUAUACCUUAGUAUUAUAUUAAAACAUGAGAAGUUUGUUGCUAGCUUUAUUUUUUAUUUAGAUUACGAUUCCUAUGAAAUAUUAAUAUAUCAGUUAAAUGUGUGUAUAUUUAUUCUUUUUAUAAAAUUUAAAGUCCAUAAUUUAUUUUAUUGAUAACCAUGACAUCUAUGGUAUUAGAUAGUUAAUAUUUACAAUAAUAUAUAGCUUGGAGACAUAUUUAUUUAAUAUUAAAAAUAUAAAUUUUGCAAACCUGAUCUUACUCUAAUAUUAUUUCUUAAUAUACCUUAGUAUUAUAUUAAAACAUGAGAAGUUUGUUGCUAGCUUUAUUUUUUUAUUUAGAUUACGAUUCCGAUGAAAUAUAAUAUAUCAGUUAAAUGUGUGUAGAUUAUGAACAUAUAGGCUUAUGAUGUGUUCAUAUGACAUAACAACACAUCGUGCAAAGAUAGUGGAAGCAUCUCUUUUUAUUUUUACAUACUUAAAUUGAUUGUAAACUAAAGCAUAAAUCUAGGUAAAUUAGUAAAUCAGUGAGAUAUGUAGGAAUUGUGCUAAAACUUUUACCACAAAUCAAGCAUCACAUUAAAUAGGCAACCAUAAAAUUUUCAUAAUAAUUGGAGCAAGAUAACUAUAAUUUUAAUUUUACACUAAAAAGCAUAGACAAACAUCUCCAGUAAAAAAAUGAACUAAAAUUUAUGAUAUUUUUUGUUUACUGCAUGGAUCUACAUAUGUGGAGCUGAACAAAAUUUAUGUUGUAAUUUUUAGUUUUUUCUAUAAAUUACUAAGCAUUUAUCAAUUUUCAGCUGAUUUAAAGAAUAAAAUAAAAGUAAACUAAUAGGAUAAACAUUUUGCACAUAAACCGAUGUAUUUGCCUUAUUUUCAACAUCUCAUGAUGUUGUCAAACGAUUUUGCAUUGGGAACCCUAAAAAAGCUUUUAUUUUAUUUUUCCUCCUCCAACAACGUUGAAGUAGGGGAUUCCAGCGACAGGCGGAAACAGAAAUUUUCCUCCCACCCCGAGCCCAACCGGCCAAGUAAACGGAGACGAAAUCUCAUCCCGACCGGCCAAGUAAACGGAGACAAAAUCCCAUCCACUCGUUGGACGGCAGGAGCAAGCAGAGACGGGAGGGAGAGAUCUCAGGGCUCCACGCCUCCACUACCACUCGUCCUGAUCCUCAGCUCUGAGAUCCCGAUGGUGGACGGCCGCUACUGCCGCUUGUCGCGAGCCGCCCGACGCUUCAGGCUGUGAUGCGUGGGGCCCGUCUCCACCCCCAUGUCGCCGACCAUGGCGGGGCAGUCGCUGCCGCCCGGAGGCUCUCAGGACGACUUCCUCGAGCACUUCUUCGCCUUCCCCUCCACAGCCUCCGCCGCUGCCAGGGGACACGCGGGCGCAGGUGCCGGCUGGGACCACCCCUUCCCCCUCGCCCUCAGCCUCGACGCCGCCGCCGAGGCCAAGCCGGUGAGCUCCCAAGCCCCAAGCCCACCCUACGUGAUUUUGUUGAUUUUAGAGAAGAAAUCGAUUUCUGUUGAUUUCCUAGUGAUUGUCGUGGAGGUAGGCAGAAUAAGUUGUUGUUUGUCUAGAGUUAGUCUGCUAGUUGAUUUGGAUUUGGAUUGAUUUGCUGAUUUUGAUUCAAUCUUGGAUUGGUUGCGUACAGAACAGACAUGGCUCGGACAUGGUGACGGAAGAAAUCUAUUGGCAGACUGAAAUUUUGACUCUUUAUAGAUAGGUAUAGAUUGGCAGGUAUGGGUUUUUAAACGGAUAUGAUUUUUCUUUGCGUGGUAUGGAUAAGAGUGGCAUAUAGUAUAUACGUUGUGGGCUUUAGCGUAAACUUGACCUCAAUGGACCUGUCCCGCCUAUUGGGCCAUGGGUUUGGAUGUCCUCAUGUGGUCUCAAGUUUCAUGUGUAUACACACACAUUAUUCUUGUCUAGAUAUAAAAACAAAAACAUAUAAAAAGGAUUAUAAAAAGUGUAGGGAGACACGAAUUUAGUCGCCGAGACUACUGUAUACCUAGAAAAAACAAUACUUGGCUACUGCUUGCAAGGCUGCUAUUGUUCCCCUCAUUUUUUGACUAGCCUCUUAAUAUACUUGGACAUGCAGCUCAGGCCCAUGAGCCCGGCACGAGGCUCGGGCCUUGUUUAGUUCAUCCAAAAAAUAAAAAGUUUUCAAGAUUCCCUGUCACAUCGAAUCUUGCGGCACAUGCAUGAAGCAUUAAAUAUAGAUGAAAGCAAAAACUAAUUACACAGUUUAGUUGGAAAUCGCGAGACGAAUCUUUUGAUCCUAGUUAGUCCACAAUUGGAUAAUAUUUGUCACAAACAAACGAAAGUGCUACAGUACCGAAAUCCAAAAUCUUUUCGGAACUAAACAAGGCCUCGGUAUUUUCGCCCAGCCCGGAGGCAACAGACCAUGCCUGGGCCACACCUCAGGCCCGUGGGCUAGCACGGCACGGCCCGGUAAAAGAAGGAAGGCCCGGUAGUGGCCUGUUGAGAGAUCACAUAUUCACUUAUAUAUUGUAUCUUUCAUUUCCUAACCUAAAGGCCUAAUCCACUUAGCCACCCCACUCCCCAGCACGCCUCGAGCAGCAGCAGCAGUGGACUGGUGGUCGGCCACCGCCUCCUACGGCCAAAUCUUCGACGAGCGCGGCACCCUACGUCUCAAGAACGGUGGCAUCUUUAUGGAAGGUGGCGGAUCCGGCCCUGAGCGCCUUGGGGCGACUUGCGAGCGCGGCAGCGGGGUGGCCGCGACGACCUCCCGCACUGGUUGCGCCUCCUCUCGCCCUCCCCGCUCUCUCCUCGUAUUUGGUGGGCCUUGGGUGGGCCUGGUCUACUAAAUCAUACUCAUCGGGUGCCGGCCCGGCACGAAAAGUGUCCCAAGGCCGAAGGCCAGGCACGGCAUGCCUUGUUGGCCUGACCCCCGGGCGGGGCUAGGCCAGCCUGUUGCCCAUCUAUACCUCUUAAGAGGUUUGCUUUUAAAAAUAGCCACUAUUUUCAGAGAGAAGUCGCUUGUAAAUUGAUUUAUAAAGACAGUUAUAUUUAUUGUGUCUCCAUAAAUGAUCUAACUACCUUCAGAAAUCUCUCGAUAUUUUAGGAAAUGAGAGCACUUUAUGUGCGUCUCCGUUAAUUAAAAGACCAUGUCUCAGUGUGAUCAUUUUUGUAGUAGUGAUCCUUCUCUGAGAUAAAUCUCAGGUGAACAAUGAAAUACGAAGAGAAAAUGACUGAGUAAUUAAAGGAAAUUAGAAAAAACAAACUAAAAACUUAUUUGAAAUGUUUAUUAAAACGAUGCUAAUGUAAUAAAAUAACAAAAGGAAGAAAACUUAAUUCUGGAGGGGAAAAAAUAAAAGCCCUAAAGUAAAAUGGGCCCAGCAGCGCAACUGUGUGACGUGCUGCUUAAUCGUCCAUGCCUCUCGAAUUUCUGGAUGGCCCGCUUAAUGGGCCGUGCCGAACAAAGCACGCUUGGAAAUGUUGUGGGCUUUAGCAGAAGCGGGGCCUGGAUGGGAUGGGCCUCCGUCUCGCCCGUUGGGCCUUGGUUUUGAAUGUCCUCAUGCCCUCUCAAGUUUCAAUUCUCCAGAAAAAAAAGGUGCAUGGUCGCAUGGACAUGAAUUCUUCUUUGUGGAUAUUGUAUAAAUAAAAGAACAAAAAAGUGCACGGAGACUUUCAUUCCAUUGCAGAGAAUAUUGUAGACCCCACCCCAAAAAAAACUUGGCCACUACUGGUGCUGCUACUUGUAAGGCUGCUAGCUCAAUUUUUUUGAGUGCGCCACACUCAGCACUCAGUUAGGCCCUGUUUAGUUCUAAAAAUUUUAUUUUUAUUCUAUCACAUCGAAUUUUUAAAUAUAUGUAUAAAAUAUUAAAUAUAAAAAAUAACUAAUUAUAUAAUCUAUAUGUAAUUUAUGAUAGGAAUCUUUUGAACCUAAUUAGUUUAUAAUUUAACACUAAUUACCAAAUAAAAUGAAAAUAAAAUAGUAGCCAAAUUUAAAAAAUUCGCUAACUAAAAAGGCCUUAUGCAUCACUGCUGAACAGCCACUUGUAGGUUGACAGGUGGAAGCUAGGCCACCAUGGUGUCCAAUCUCAGGUGGGAUCUGAUAUCUCCUCAUGCAUGGCAUCAGGCUUGUUUAGUUCCAUCCAAAAUCUAAUUUUUUUAAGAUUAUUUACCAUAUUAAAUAUUUAAACGUAUAUAUGUAGUAUUAAAUAUAGAUAAAAAUAAAAUUAAUUAUAUAUUUUAUCUAUAGUUUACGAGAUAAAUUUUUUAAAUCUAGUUAAUUAAUAAAAUAAUAACAAUUGAUAAAUAUAAACGAAAAUGCUUCGGUCAUCCUCUCAACUUGGGCCGUGUUUAGAUGCGAAAAAAUUUUGGAUUUCGCUACUAUAGCACUUUCGUUUGUUUGUGACAACUAUUGUUUAAUUAUGGAGUAAUUAGGAUCAAAAGAUUCGUCUCACGAUUUACAAGUAAACUGUGCAAUUAAUUUUUAUUUUUGUUUAUAUUUAAUGCUUUAUGCAUGUUGCGAAAGAUUUAAUAUAAUAGGAAAUCUUAAAAACUUUUUGAUUUUCGAGGUGACUCUAUGCAUUGCAUGCAUCGCAGCCGGAAGAUGAAAUCGACAUCUCUCAUGGCCGGCCCGGAAUCCGAUUCAGAGAGAGAAUACGUGGCUCCAUCCUCAACCCAUCUUUUUCAUGGUAUGUGUAUGUGUUUUUAUUUUAUUCAUUUGUAUUUGUAUACCAACCAAUACCACCCAUUAUAAUAAUAAUAAAUAAGAAGGAAAAAAGAGAGUAAUUAAAGGGGAAAAAAAAAGAAAAGCUAUAAGAAACCAGACGAGAGAGAAGGGUAAAGAGUUGCAGUACUGACCGAGUUUAAGAGGGGACAGAAGGGACGUUCGAGUUGACAGCCAGCGGGGCCCGCGUCCGUCCAUGCUGGCCCACCCCUCACCACUGUAGCUCAGGCCUCAGGGAGAGGGGGUGUUAUUUUUACAUGCAAACCCCUAGGCUAUUUCCGAAUUCUCUCUCUCGUACUGCGUACAGUACGUUUGCUCAUUGAGCCAUUGAGCAUGGACGAUUUUUGUUCAAGCGGUGUUUUGUUAUCGCCUCAGUUAUUGUUCUUAUUACAUACAGUAGCUUUGUGAAACAAAAGCUAGCUAGGCAUGCAUUGCUAUCGUUGUAAUGGAUUCGUAUGAACUGUAUGGCAAUCUACAUGCAUUAAACUCUAAUUUAAGCUUGUUCAUUUAUCUAAAAAGUUAUAGCUAAAAAUAUUAUUUCGCUGAUUUAUUGUUUUAGAAAAAUGUUAUUGGUUUGUAGAAAAAAUACGACAUAUAUGACACAUGACUUUUUAAAGUCUCUAAAAAAUUAUGACUGAAAAUAUUGUUUUCUAAUUUUUUUCCAUAGUCUACUCAUAUACCGCGUGUUUUUUUUUUUCUUCUUCACGAAACUUUUGACACCGAUGCAUCUGCAGAUCUGGUAGCAGCUAGCAACCGGUAAUAUCUCUGUUCUUAAGAUAUUGCCGUACAAUUGCUUGUUUAGUUCUCAAAAAAUUUUGUUUUGAGACAUUGUAACAUUUUUAUUUUUAUUUGACAAAUAUUAUCUAAUUAUAGACUAACUAGGUUCAAAAGAUUCAUCUCGCGAUUUACAGACAAACUGUAUAAUUAAUUUUUAUUUUUAUAUAUAUUUAAUACUUUAUACAUAUACCGCAAGAUUCGAUGUGACUGAGAAUCUUGAAAAAUUUUGACUACAAAGCCUGAAAACCGACUUGCUUGUACUGCUAGUGGUACUUUUUUUCGCUACGACCACCGGGCACGCGGUAGCAGUAGCGGACUAGCCGUUGAAUAUAGGAGGACAUUAUUAUAUAGGCUUUCUUUAGUUCAAAUUUUUUUUUAUAAAAUAGACAAUAUAGUACUUUCAUUUGUAUUUGAUAAAUAUUGUCCAAUCAUGAAUUAAAUAAACUCACAAGAUCUGUCUCACAAAUUAUAGAUAAACUGUAUAAUUAGUUAUUUUUAUUUAUAUUUAAUGUUUUAUUCAUGUGCCGCAAGAUUCGAUGUGACGAGAAAUACUAUACCACAACCCUAAUAUAGCGUCAUAUGAAAAAAAAUUGCAGAAUUUUUUGGAACUACACAAGGCCUAGUACUAGGGAUAAAGUCAGCACGCUUGCCCAAAUGCAUGCUCCUAUAGCGCCGGUUACGGCUAGUACCACACCGUAUCAUCGUCGUUGUGUCUUCAUUCGUCGUGCAAAUCAGAUAUCGAUCAUACCGUCACGUCGCAUCCAUGAUCGAUCACGAGCAAAAGAAACUACUUCACCUUGCUUUUUUUCAUCACCUUCCUUCCUACUACCUAGCUUGUCGUGUUAACCUAGCAUUCUCUCUGCAAUGCUACGCUGUUUUGGUGGUCAAGUGUCGUUCAUCUUUUCUUUUAACUCCAGGCCAAUACGUAUACUCCCUUCUUCUCAAAAUACUUGAUCUUACAGCGUCUCUCCAAUAAUCUAGUUUAUAAACAGAUGAAGAAGUUUUCUUUUGCGAGAUUCAGUUAUAGACGCAAACGCUCAUAUAUACAAGCGUACACUCACCCCUAUGAAAAUACGUACGCACACCCUACUACAAUGAGCACAUUCAAAGAAUCAACUUGGACGGACAGAUCUCGAGAUUAACGAAGUCAAUAGUGUAAAAGGCAAGAGACUAGCAUAGGCUCAAAGAGAUAAUCUUAUACAUUUCAUGACACAUCCUCUCUCACCGCACAGAGUCUGUCUCUAUUCUAUAUUUAUCAUAUUAGAGCAAGUGCAAGCUCACACUGUUGGAGACAAUCUUAUAUAGGAUUCAAAUUGUCCCAAUUAUUCGACCUACUUAUGUUCUAAUGCACAUUUCUCUUCUCUUAAAACAUUUUCCCCCAAUACAUCUAUAUAUCUCUAUCUCUCUGUUUGUUUUUUCCCCUUUGUGCAUCACAACUUUUUAUUCCCCUGUGACCAAACCUAAAACGCUAAAUAUUUUGUGACGAAGGAGAAGCGAUAAAGUUAUUCCUUGGCGGGAUGUAAUACCCGAUUUUAAGGACAAAUCAGAUACGCACCAUAUGUGAGUUUUAGAAGUCAAAUCCCACAUAUAGCUACAAAUAAGGGGUAAUAUCAAAAGACAAUGCAUAAAUAUAUAACGUACUUAGUAUAAAAGUUAUAACCUGUGAUAGCAAACAGCGGAUAGACAACUCCAAACUUCGGGUAUUAACUUCUCUCUACAGGAUCCAACUGACUGGUUGAUCACAAGCCUAAACUUCUCCUGAGGUGUGGGGGAAAUAGCAAGAGUGAGUCCAUGUCGAACUCCACAAGUAUAGCAACUAGAUUAUAUAGCUCCCACAAUCUCAUGAUCAAUGUGACAUAAAUAAUGUAGAGCAUUAAAUAAUAAAUAAUGAACAUAUAUAACACAAGAAUCAUCAUCGUCGAUGCAAGAAUCCCCAAGGCCGCUCUUGACCGUGAGCACGGCUAGUAUACCAGUUUUUAACACUCUGCAGAGGUUGCACAUCUUUACCCAUGAGUCAUGAUUUACCCUUUCGCCCGAGGUGAUCAGCCUCUUAACCCACUUCCAAGGAAGGUCGGCAGGGAUCACUAUGAAGCCUUUCAAAAGUUCGUCUAACAUGUUAGGGCCGCAAGGUUUCCUUUGCGCGCAGAUAUAGAGCCCCCCUUCCGAUGGCACAAUGACUCGCAGCCUAUACACAUACAGACAGAGGCCACACUAUACCCAAAACGGUUCAGCCCCUCCGCCCUUUCGGGUAACCUCUAACAAGCUAGAAAAGGUCUCCAUACUGAGCUAAAGCCAGAGCCAUUAUAGCCCUCAUGGUUGCACUGUUGUCCCGGUUAUCACUUACAGAUAAAUCAUCAAGUGGCUAAAAAGUCAUUUUUAUCAUUUAUUACUUAACAUUAAUCUAGUCACAGGAUCAUGGUCACAGAAUAUAAAACCCAAAUGCUGUACUUGCCUUAAUCCAAUUGCUCUUGCUGAUCCUGCUGGUCUUACUAGUUGCCAAGGCUCUGAUCUUGAUCACUGAAGCACUCUUGAUCACCACGAAUUGCUCACCGACUAAUUCCGAUCAUCGAUCACAAACAUACGGCAACAAACAUACACGAAGCAAACAAGGCUACAAUUAGAACAGUACACCAAUCAUAUAAAAAUAGUAUGAAAAGUUUAUAAAAAGAUUCUACACACCACUACGAUCACACGAACAUAAAUAUCACGAAAAUCGAAGCUAAAACGGAAAAUUUAUGAAUUUUCUAAGAUUUAUAUAGAAAAAUAAUUAAUUAAAGUCACGAAAUUAUAAAGUUUCAAACUGAGAAAACAGUGUUACUAACAUGUAGAUAUUUCAAAGACGAGUCUAACGCAAUUUGAAUGGGUCAAAACGGAAUUAAAAUGAAUAUUUUAUGACCAAAAGAAAAUCAGUGGCAAACUUGUAAUUUCCUAAGCGAUUAGUGCUGGGCCGGUUCGGAAACAAAUAGCGUAAACCAGAUAGACGCUUUGGAGCGGGUUCAUUUGGAAAUACUUCAUAGAAAUACCUAGAUUAAGUUAAAUUAUAUUUGAGUUACAAAAUCGAGAUAAAACUAAUUUUAUUUUUUUUUGAAAAUGUAAAUUAAUACACACUAAAUAAUAUUACCGUCGAGAGUUUUAUAUUACAAAAGAAAUAGUCACAAGCUUAAUUUAUUUUAAUCAAGGGAGAUCAUAUUAAUGUUUGCUUAUAAAAUAUCAUGGCGCAGAACCUAUGUUUGCUUUUAAUUUAGAAAAGUGGUAGCAUGCACACUAAUCAAAUUAGUAGCUAAUUUAUUUAACUCAGAAACAUGUGACGUGAUUAUCACUGAAUUGGAAAGGAGGUUGGGCUGACCAUUAAUCAUUAUGUCACUUGCGGCAUGCAACGGAGCAAGCUGGCUUGAGUCCUUCCAUUGGUUUGGCUUUGGAUUGCAGGAUGGUAAGAUGCAGCGACUGCUCAAAUAGAUAUCUAGUGUAGUCAGCUGAUGAGGAUUAUGCUUGAAUUAGGAUAGAUGCGUGAACUAAAAGCAAGGUUAUGCACGGUUCCUUACCAACAACAGAGAAGCACCAAAGAAGACAGCAGGCGUUGAUGACCAGACCUGCUGCUCAAACGAUUCUCCACCUCCGUGAUAAGAAUAGCGAUAGUAGAUGGAUCAGCAAUGCUGGGAUGAUAAAGAGGGGAAGAAAAAUUGAUUUACUACCUAGGGAUUCCUAAACCUGGGGCUUCCCUCAUGGUAGUUUUGGUGUGUGCUUAACCCAAAAAGUUGGUACAUAUAUAGGGAGAAAAACUCGUCACAUCCACAUCAAUUAGCAAUAUGGUACUAAUUGAUGUUGAAAUCUCCAUCUUUACUAAUAGGCCUAAUUAAUUAUUAAAGCCCAUUAGUAAAUAAAACAUUUGGUCUUUGAAU
rnacentral:lncRNA from 1 species